ACUCCGAUUGACGAGAUUCAAAAUGUUCUGAAAAGUAGACAUAAUUUCGGACGACUUUCGUGUUUUGAGAAAAUGCUGAUUCGAAACGUACUCGGCGAGUAGGGUCGAUUACUCGGCGAGUUGUAUCGAACUUUCGCGAUUCUGGACGCGCUGACUUGCCGUGCACGGGUUUUAAGUGACGGACUCGCCGAGUAGGUCACUGGACUCGCCGAGUAGCCUCUGUUUUGUGAAAAUCUAUAUAAAGGGACUUUCAGAUCGAUACCCUAGCAUGGAGAGAAACCCUAGGAGGCUGAGAAACGAUUGGAAGUGCUGCUAGGUCGUGAGGAACUGAAGAAUCAACCCUACAUUCAAUUGUGAAGAGAAUCAAGACAAUUUUGGUUUAUUCUUAGUAACUUUUUGAUUUGAAUCAUGUUUACAUACUUUGAUUUCGUUUUUGAGUUUAUGUUUACUGCAAUCAUGAGCUAAAAACUUAUUCUUCUGUUAGGGUAGACAAUUUUGUGAACAUGGAUUGAUUAUUUGAGUAGGAUUAAUUUUAAUUGGUAAUUAUGUUUAGUUAAGCUUGUUAAAGAACCUUAUGUGUUGACAAUAACUAUUCUUCUGUUAAUAAAUCAGUAAUUAAGUUGUAUGAACAUCUCUUAGUUAUUAAUUUCAUAUGAUUUAUUGUGACCACAUAGUUGUAUGUCUAGGAAUAACGAAUGUGAAACUAGAAUUAACUAGAAGAUAGGUAAGUUAAUGUGUGAGAUUGUUUGAUGAACAUCAGCAAUAGGUUAAUUGAAGGGUCAAUUUAAUUAACCAUUACAAGUCUUACUUAACCCGAAUCAAUAAUCUAGGAAACCCGUUAAUUUAGACAACUGGCCAUUGCUUGAGUUAAUUUGUUUUCUAAGAAUUAGGAAUAGCGAACGUGAACCUAAUUAUCUUAAUCGGUAGCCAAUGAAGAAUUAAUCCGAUACAUUAAAAUCAUCCAUGGGAACAAAUGAGUCGUACCUAAACAGAAGUCCUCUUUACUAUUGAAUUUAGUUGGUAAUUAAUUGUUUUAGUUGCUAGUUAGUUAAUUUGUGUGUUGGUUAUUCUAAUUAAGUUUCUAGUCUUGUAAAACUAGAGAAAACCCCCCUUUUUGUUAUUUGUUUUAUUUAGAUAAUAUUAGCAUUUAUUUUAAUUGUUUACCGUUCCCUGUGUUCGAUACCCUACUUUCUUGAACUAUAUUACUAAUCGAUAGGUACACUGCCUUUCGUGUGUUUAUUUUGUGUCUAAGUUAGUAGGAUUAAAACUAGUUCGUUUCACACACAUCAAUACACGUAUAGACAUAAAGGUUUACAUCGACCAGUUCAUUUCCCUUGGGUAGCAAGGGCAUCCUUCCAUUCAUCACUCAUAGAUCAGAGACACUAGUAACUAUUAUAGGAAUAGUUAAGAGGUUCUAUUCACUCUUUCUAGUACGAGAAUUCCAAAGGAGUCAGUUCAUUCGCGAGUCUAUAACAUUUCUCCAGCGCCUCUAAUAGAAUCCAGAAUACGAGAUGCAUCUUCAGGACACGGAUCUCCCCGUCGUCAAGUUGGUAACCAGAGUCUCCUGGAGGGAGAGCGGGCAUUGUAUGUAUAGAUCUAUACGGGACUGACACUCCCGCACCCUGACUGCUAGCUACAGUCCUCGGCCUACCAAGCCAAGGGGUGACAAAUGUCACAUUUAUUCCGACGCUUGCAGGGCGUCAAGUACUCUAGUGUCAAUCAGUAUGGUUACGAGUAUCUCCAUGUUUACCUUAUAAUUCAUGGCCUUAAGGUAACGAAAAUUAACAAUGUAUUUAUGAAACAACACUCUUAGGAUUACUCUUUGUAUUAGACCUUGCUAGCUGUAUCGUUCAUUUGAUACUGUCUGGGGUCUGUGUUUCUUUGUUUUAGACCUUGCUAGUUGUAUCGUUCAUUUGAUACUGUCUGGGGUCUGUGUUUCUUUGUUUUAGACCUUGCUAGCCGUAUCGUACAUUUGAUGCCGUCUGGGGUCUGUGUUUCCUUUUGUUAGACUGAUUCAGGCGUAUCAUUCAUUCGAUACUCUCCUGGACUCUAUGAUUUCUUUUGCCUUAGUCAGCAGUGUUUUCUGCUGAGGCAUAUGUUAUUUUCCCCUAGUAUUUUACUAGUGAUAUUCUCCUACUUUCUUUAAAGUCAAAUACCGUAUUUUGGGUAAUGAUAGUAUUUCAGGGAAAAUUUCUCUUUAAAACACAACACUGUCGAGUCUUGGUAGAAAACUGCUUUUAAUUAGAAAAUAUAAGAUUUUCUGGAAAGGACGCUAAUACACCGUAGAUUCUAAACUACUACUUUUUAUAAAGUUAUUUUGAAAAAAAUGCUUACUUACACAAAUGACACUAAAUACUUAUGAACUCACCAGCAUUUAUAAAAAUGUUGAUACUCGCUUUCAAAAUAACUUGUAUUCUCAGGUUAGCAAUAGACAGGUACACCCGGGAGCUUUUGUGAAGCCAGCCUAGAACCGAGUUGCAUCUAUACUAGUUUCUGUAUUACUUUGAUAUUACUAUAACAUGUAUCCGAUGUAAAAUUAUUAGUAUUAAUGCAAUGGUUGUUGUACUUUGAUUACUAUACUGCAUAUGUUGUGAUACUUGACAUGACGUCAUCCACUCCGGAACGUUUCCGCCGUUCCGGUUUUGGGGUGUGACAAACUCGGCGAGUCGUAAACCGGACACAUUCUUAUGAGGAAGAUGAACUCGCUGAGUUCAAGGAAGAACUCAAUGAGUCGGAUGAUGAUGGUCCCGAUGGUUUGAAUGAAGGAGAACCCGUCGAGUUCUUGCUAGACUCGACGAGUGGAUUCGGGGUUGGAUCGGGUUAGUGGGGUAUGGACUCGACGAGUUGGUAGACCAACUCGGCAAGUCAGGUCAACUGGGUGUUGACUUUGACCAAUGUUGACUUUGCCUGGUUUUGGUAUGACCCCGGUUAGGGUUGCAUACUCAGAUGAAUAACUUUGAAGUAUUUUCGUGUAGGGAUCUAGGAGUCGAGGGUAGUCGACUUGUACGCCGGAGACAGUUCAGAUACUGCACGACAUCGAGGUGAGUUACCUUCCAAUAGGGGUGGGUCUAAGGCCACAAUGCCGGCCCACCAACAAGAGUAAUUGGUAGAUAAUUGUCUUUGUGAUAAUUAGCUUGGCAAGAUUAUGUGAUAUGCUUAUGAGAUAUGCUUAUGUGAUAUGCUAUGUGAAUUAGUGGUAGUAGCAAGGAAUAGCCUUUCCCUGACUUGGUCAUUAGGACCGAAGGGUAGGUCAGUACCCCAGAUAUGCCUGAGCGUAUGAUUAUAUUUGGUUAUUAUAUGAUAGAGGUAGGGGUGAAAUAGUCCCCGAUGCUGGGUGAGAUAGACCGGAGGCUAGUUGGCACCCUAGAACGGCCUGACAAGGGUAGUCGGCACCCCAGAACGGCCUGGCAAGGGUAGGUCGGCACCCUAGAACGUCCUGACAUGGGUAGGUUAGCACCCCAGAAUGGCUUGACAUAGGUAGGUCGGGCACCCCAGAAUUGCCCGACAGUAUGUAUGUUAUGUGAUUAUAUGGUAUGUGGUAUGUUGGGGGAACUCACUAAGCUUUGUGCUUACAGUUUCAGUUUUGGUUUCAGGUACCUCUUCGUCUAAAGGGAAGGAGCCAGUGGUGUAGCAGCGCAUCACAUACACACAUGAUUUCCGCUUAGAGUUUUCUGGGAUUGUACUCUGAUAUUUUGUUACUCCAAGAUGAUUUGGUUUUGUGACAUGAUAUUAUGGUUUUAUGUAUUGACAUGAUCUUGGCAAUGUUUUGAUAAACUAAUUUAAAAACCACUUAAUUAAAAACGAAAUUUUUGGACUCAAAAAUUGGGAUGUUACAAUAUAAUAAUAAGAGGCCAUGAUAGUACAACCAUCUUCAAAAUGUACAAGUGGAUGCAGGAGGACAUCGAACCAAAAUGACAAAACCCAAUUUGUCAAAACCGUGGCAUCAAUCAUUCUUCAAUAACACUAUGCUCGGAUGCUAUCUAAUCAAGAUAUGAGAAUGCCAUGUUCAGGUCCAAUCUACUGCAACAAUGUCAAGUUUUUUAGUACGAUCAUGGAUAGUUUCUUGUUCGAUACCAAUCGAUGGUAUUGAGUAAUUGCAGGUGGUGGUAAGAAUUUAUGUUGUAUUUUGGCUCCAAUGCCACAGUUGUCAUCAUGUGUCGAUUUUGUUGGUUUCGUCGAAAGAUAGUUGCUCAUCUCAGGUUAUGAAAAGCUUCAGUUUAGUCCGAUGAUGGGGAUUUUAACAUCUCGUAUCACAAAAAGUCGAUUGGGUGAGAAGAGAAUGAAGAAGGUAGGUGGGAUGGGGGGUUAUUUUGUAUGAUGUACUCAUUUUGUCGAGUGAGAGAAUUAGAGAAAUGAGCACAAGCGAAGGGUAUUUUCGUCAGUUACUUAUCUGUUCCAGUGAGUUCCACCUUCACGUGUGGGACUAAAGUUUAUAAAAUUAGUCCCAUCGAAUUUAGUUUUUGUUCCAUUGAGUCCAUGUUCUAUGUUUGCCAAACACCUUGUCAAAUGAUUUUGUUUUGUUCUGUCCAAUUCUGUCUUACGUGCCAAACUUUGCCUAAAUGUUUUGUAUGUUGUUUGUGUGAAGAGCCCGAUGGGACUGUACAUUCGCAUCGAAGAUAUUGGUUUAUGUUGUUUUGUAAUUCAAUUAUGUUAACUAUAUGGUUUUCAAACAAAUGGAUGUUACAUCAUGAUUAAAGUAAAAGGUUUUUAAAUUGUUAAUCUAUUUGUAAAUGAAAAAUAUCUUUUGUAAUUUAUGGACAUUACAAGUUGGUAUCAAAGCUUUAGUUUGAUGGAUUCGGGCACACCUAUAGUGUGUCUAAACUCAAACUGGGGAUUUGUAAAAAUCUUUUACAAAAAAAUGUUUUUAUGAAAAGGAUUUUUAUAAAGAAAAGGAUGUGAUGUGUAUAGUCAGCUGAAGCUCAGGAAUUAAGUAAUUUCCGAUAUACACAUAUGGUUGUGUAUUUUGUGUUAUGGAUUGAUAUGCAUGAUAGAUUUAAAGCUAAAGAUUUGUUCAGGAAUUACAUGCUAGAAUUGCUUGAUUUGUAUAAAUGUAUAGUACACCCACUUACGCAAUGUCAGAGCAGCCAUCAGAAUCAGUGGCCUGAAUCUGGAACGAUCUGGCAGCAAAACUUCAGUUACCGGAAAAUAAAACUCUCUCUGUCUCUCUCUCUCUCUCUCUCUCUCUCUCUCCCUCUCCAUCUCNNNNNNNNNNNNNNNNNNNUUCUUGUUUAUAAAGUUUUCCAAAAGUUUUACCCAAGUUUCUGUUAGCUGUUAUUUCGUUAAAUGCAUGCUUAUAUUUGUAUAGUUAUAUAAAUAAUGUUUAAAGGACUUAGGAAGGCUAGUUCGCCCUAUUUCCUUUUCCUCGUUGGGAUGUGGUCUGGUGGGUAUCGGUUAUCCGUACGAAGGUCGUUUAAAUAUUAGUUAUAUAUCAUGUAUACAUGUAUGGACAUAAAAGCUCUCUCUCUCUCUCUCUCAGCCAAUUCAUCGCCUUGAGCAGUACAGACAUCCUGCUAUUAUUCAUGUUUCUGGAACCCUAGUAACUAUUAUAGGAAUAGUUAGGAGACUCUAUCUCUCUCUCUCUCUCUCUCUCUCUCUCUCUCUCUCUCUCUCUCUCUCUCUCUCUCUCUCUCUCUCUCUCCAGAUGAACACCCAGACAAAAAUAAAUAAUCUAAGAUACAAUAACAUAUACAAAACCCAUAUAUCUUAUAUACAAGAGUACAAAGAUAAACCUUAUUCAACGUACACACACAAUAAUGAACCUAGAAAUGAUUUGACACAUAUGAGACCAAAAACAUACAUUUGUUGAAGAUCUUACAUACAAAACCUGAAAUCUUAUAUACAAGACCAAACAUACAAACAUGAUUCAACACAUAAAUCUCUUCAGAGCACUGCCUUCUCGUCGAAGCAAAAUCAUCUUUAAGCUAUAUGUUGUUUGGAGCAAUUAAAAAAAACAAGGGUUUCAAGAAAUUCUCGUCGUCUUAUCUUCCGACCAAGCCAUAUGUUCGUUUGCACUUCUGGAGAACCAACAUCUUUAAGUUGCCAGUAAAACUAAGGUUUUUUUUAGCCGCCGCUACUAGGGUUUUAGUGCCGCCACGAUGGAGAAUUGGUUUUGUUUGUCGUGAGAAGUUAUGUUAACGGCUCCGGUAAGUAUAAGAGAGAAAAAGUGUGACAACAUAUUUGAAACCAUUGUCGUCACUGAAGAUAUAUGUUCGUUGGUGGUUGGUUUACAAACGUUGAAUUGACGAUCAACGUGGACACAUCUAGUAACACAUCUAGUAACGGGGAAAGCUGGUGACGAUUUAGAGAACGCGAACUCAAAUGGUGUCGAUCUCCGGCCAAAAUGACGAUGUCGGCGAUGGUUGUUCAUGGAAAAGGAGAAGUGGAGAAGACGAUUGAAAUGUCAGAGAUGCAGGCUGGUUUGUGAAACAUGGGACGGGAUGAUGGGUCAUAUAUUUUUGUUCUUUUGUUAGUUAGGAAAUAAUUAAAUAACAAAAAGAAAACGAAAAAACAAAUAGAAGAUGGCAAACCGUUCUAAAAUGUUUUCGCCCAAAACUAUAGCAAAAUAAAAGUUUUUGAUCUAUGAUGUUAGUCAAAAAAAAUUUUACCAAAAUGUCAAUUUUCGGUUAAACACAAGUUUUGUCAAGAAUAAAUAAAGGAUCGACAACGCCAAAAAGAUUAAUUUGCAUAUCAUAUUAAAACACAAAAUACAAGAUAUAUGGGACCUUCGAAAUCUUAAAAGAAGGCUAAUAACUAAAUAAAUACAUUCUUAAGACUAAUUUCAACUAUUAACCCUAUAAAUAAAUAUUACCUUAAUUACUUAAACAUAUUUUCUGAAAAUAAUAAUAUGAGGAAUAAAUAAGAAUUUAUUGAAAGAAUUUGACAAAACCAAAUGUUAGCAUGUCGUAGAAUAUAUUCAAACACUUGAAGUCCCAAUAAGCUCUAUCAAUACUUCUUACAUAAUUCACCUCGAAAAUCAUUACGUUCGCAACUCCUCACCCAUAUAACAAAAAAAAAAAAAAACAAAUAACAAAAACCACAAUUCAAACCGAACAUUAUUAAACCGCUUGCAAAAUUUCAUCAAUUCACAUUGUUCAAAACCAUAAACAAAUCCCGACUUGUCAAUGGGCAUGCGUAUAAUACACCAAGUGUUAGAAACAAAACCCGAAAUCAUGGAGUGAAAAAAACACAAUAAUAAUAAUGAUGAUAAUAUAUUGAAGUUGAAGUUGUGUUCUUCAAUUUAACAAACCCAUGAAGCAGAUCUUUUCAUCUGAGGCUUCAUUUGUUUGUCUUCUUCAAGUGAUAUCAUACCUAAAUGAGAUGGAUCUUCAAGCAUCAUUUUGGCUACCAAAUAUCCGGCUAUUGACCAUGUUUGGUUUUUACGCGCUUGUUUUCCGAUAAAUCGGCCGAGUUUUCCAUCGUAAUAUUCCGGCCACUGGUCCAUUAGUAACCGACUUUCCGCUAAUUCUAUUGCACGUUUCGCUAUUUGGGGUCGCCCUGCUUUAAUGCACGCGGCCGUUAAAAGCCAUAUUAGAACUGCAAAAUACACAUGAAAUCGAUAUUGUCAGUAUAACAGUAUGUUUGGUUAACUAGCUGAAAAGCUGAGCUGGCUGAAAUAUGUAAAAUGACAUAAAAAAUACAACAUUGUCGCAUAAAUUGGUAAAAACAUGAAACAUUUUUUUCUCGGUAAGUGUUAGCGUAGAUAAAUGAUGUUUUAAACUCGUUAUGGUUUGGUCAAAAUUACACGUUUGGUCUCUAACUUUUUGCACUUGGAUCGUCCUUAUGGUUUGAUUUUGUUGCGUUUUCCGUCCUUUACAUAUAUAAAGUUAGGACCAAACUUGCAAUUUUGACCAACCAUAAGGAUGAAAAACGCAACAAAAAUCAAACCACAGGGACAAUAGGGACUAUCUAAGUGCAAAAAAAAAGUUAGGGACAAAAUGUACAAUUUUGACCAAACCAUAUAGACGAUUUCAAUAAUUUAUUCUUUUAACUUUAGUAGCAAAAAAUAAAGCAAACAACUUUUCAAAUUUUCUCAAUUUUUGUAACAAGGUGAUUUUCGAUACAAAAUAUGUAAAGAUGUCUUAAUUUAGUACCAAAAAAUUGCACAUGUUAAAACAAUGUUCCAUGAUUCUCACUAGUUACAUAAUUGGUAAAAAAAAAUAAUAAUAAUAACAAAAAUAAAAUAAAAACACUUUGUUGUAUAAAGGAUUUAUUUGUUCUUUAAGUCGCUCAUCUUUUAAUUUUAUUCAAUAGACCAAAAUUUCAACAGAAUAAUGAGAAAUGAGUUGGUUAUCCUUUUAUAACAUUAACCCAUUUGUAAAAAGGUGAAACAUUAGUAAUCUAGUUAAGCAACACAUAUCAAAAUAGUUAUCUAUCUCACAAAAAAGUGUGCAUAAAUAAUAUAAGGCCUAAUUCAUAUUUAUGCAAGAACAUUUCAUAUUUUUCCCAAUUUAUGACAUAAGAAGUUGAUUUUUUAUACAAAAUACACAAUUUAGGACCAAAAGAUGCAAGUAUUUUACCAAUAUGCCCUCUUAACCUAGUAGCUUGUUAAUUGUUUGAAUUGAUAAAAUGCACAUCAUUGUUGCAUAAACUGAUAAAAUUGUGAAACAUUUACAUAUUUCAUUUAAAAAAAACUUUUUUUUUUCAUAAAUCUACAAAAGACAAAAAAUUAUUGGAUAAAAAUACGUAUUUAACCAUUAUAAAAAAAAUUAAAAAAAUAAAAGAGCACAAACCUGGCCACGAUCCACCAUUAUGAUAACUCCAACUCGUAUUCUUCGGAUCACACCCGGUAACAAUCCUCCACUCAUGACUCUCCAUCGCCGGAUAACAAAUCUUCAACGGCAUCUCUCCGACGAGUUCCCCCCACCUCGACUCAAUCAAAUCCAUAAUCGCCGAACUCUGUUCAGGCGUCGCUAACGACGACAAAAUCGCCACACAAUUCCCCAAACAAAACCACCGGAAAUCCAUUUUCGCCGGACUUACAUUCCCAAUAAAGUAACCUCCACGUGUCGGCAUGAAAUCGAAGACCCAUUCGGGAAGCGAAUCGGGGAUUACGUUGAAUUUGUUGACUGCGGUGUGAGAGUACUCUUCGGUUUUGUAGCGAUAGAUGUCGUUGAGUUGUUUGAUGUCGAGCCAAAAGUAACUUCGCAUGUGGAAGGAGAGCGCGUGGAGGCGUUUGACUAUUCGGUCAAUGCAGUCGUUGCCUUCGCAAUCGCGUUUUAGGAGAAGUAAGGCGCAUCUUAGCGCCAUGAAGAAUAGUGCUUGGAUCUCGAUUGGAUACCCGUAUACACCCUACAAAUCAGCAAAGAUUGUUGAAAUUACGGAUUUGCCCAUCAACGUUAGAUCAAGAUCUGAAAGAUGUCUAUCGCUAAAAGGGUAUUUUGUCAUUUACAUGUGAACACAGAAGGAAGGAUCAUACAGAGCAAAAGCAUGAAAGUUGUAAUUUUGAGUAAACGAGCAGAGACUGUAAAAUUACGUAUUUGCCCUUCAAUGUUGGACAAAGAUGUACAAGAUUCUACCUAAUUGUAAGGGUAUUUUUGUCAUUUGCAUGUGAGUCGAAAUACAGAAGAGAGCAAAAACAGGAAAGUUGUAAUUUUGAAUAAACAUGCGGAGACGAUAAAAUUAAGUAUUUACACUUUAACGUUAGAUUGGGAUGUACAAGAUUCUAUAAAAUUGUCUAUGGUUGAAGGGUAUUUUGGUCAUUUGCAUGCGAAGUGAAAAGGGGUUUCAAUUGAAUGGAAGGAGCAUACAAAACAAAAGGAUGAAACCACAUACAAGAAACAUGCAUCGCACUUAAACUAAUUUGUUUAUAAUCUUUUUAUUUCUUCCUAUUAGAAAAUCAUACCUUGGAAAAUCAAGACAAUAACUCAAAAUUGCUUUGAAUUCGGAUAUGACGUUGCAAAAGGGUUAAAUGUAACGAUUUGUUAAUUAUAGAAUUCUACAAAACUAUUUUUUACUCCUAGAAAUUGGGUAUAUUUUUCAAAGCAUAAUGUCUUAAACAAGAAAAACAAAAAAUUCAAAGUACAAUACCACAAUAAAAAUAAUAAUAAAAUAAAGAUACAAAUCCUAUAAAAAACAACUAUUUUGGACCAGUUUACGGCUAAUCCCAACUUUUAAUUUUUGAACAGAAAAGCCUAAUGAUUUUAUAUUUUUUGCCCAAAUAAACAAAACAGUCAAUUUUUCGUUAACAAAAAAUAACAGAUUAUCGUACAAAAUUAGAUAAUCACAACUUUUCUGUUUAAAAAGUAAAAAAUUUGGAUUAAACCAUAAACUGGUCCAAAAUAUUAUGACUUUAUCGAAGAUUUCCCAAACAAUUAAACCAAAAUAUGUUACUAUUUCUUGAUAAAAGUAGAGAUAUAUCAAAUACUAACCAUUCUUCGAUCAAUCAUACAACAUCCAUCCGCACAUAGCAAAGUAGGAAACGUAUCAAACCCUUCGGAAAGACACAAAGUCAUAAUAAGUCUAAUCCCCCUUUGGAUUUCAGGCAUUUCGGCUAAAGACGAGUCACCCGUGGAUUUCGUAUACGCACGAAGCAGUAUAAUCCACCAAAACCCUGAGUCAACUGGGGCCACACGCCCAAUCGCGCUUUCACCAUAAUCCGCUAAAAUUGUUUCCGUGUUUCUCACGGGGUCAUGAAGCACUUUAAAACUUGCGGGCAUUACCCCUUCGCCUAAUUUGAAAUUGUCGACCUUUUUUUCGCGUGAUUGGAGGAAAACGGUUUUUAGGAGGAAGUUUUUUACGAUUUCGGGUUCUCCGUUCAUUAAAAAGGCUAACGCACUUGGCACAAAGUCUCUUACAAAAACCUAUAAAAGGAGGAAUAAAUGUCAAAAGUAGAAUUUAGUUUUGAAUGCAAGAAAUAGCAACGUAUUUUCUUUAAUUUGUUUAUUAUAGCGCAUUUUUUUUCGUCCCGUUACAAUGUUAUAUUUUCGAAAGAAAAAAUAAGUAAAUAAAUGAAAUCCGAAUACAAAGAAUUUAGGGUUAAUCUCAUAAAAGAUUUUAUAUAUUGUGUAUUUUUUUCUCGGGAUUAAACCUCAACUUUUUUUUUUUCCGGAAAAAACCUUGUGUUUUUAGUUUUUUUCAAAAAAAACCCUUAACUUUGGAUUUUUUUCCGAAAAAACACUCCACUUUCAAACUAUUUCCGAACAAACCCUCACUUUUUUUUUUGUUUUUUCCAGAAAAAAACCCUCACAUUUUACAAGUUUUUUCGGAAAAAAAUGACUAAAAGAGCCAGAUUGAAAAAAAAAUGAAAAAAUGUAAAGUCUUUUUCAGGAAAAAAAUAAAGUUGAGGUUUAAUCGAAAAAACACACACACACACACACAAAACAUAAAAUCUUUUAUGAGAUUAAAAUUGUUAUAAUCGGAUAGAUUUUUUUGAAGUAUAACGUAUUAAUAUAAAAAUAUAGAAAGUAUAAUGCUUUAAUAAAUUUUAAUAGAGGGUAGAAUCUAGGGUUAAAUGAAAGAAAUACCAAUGCACUUUCUUUAAUUUAUUUAUUAUACCAUUUUUUCACAUCUUCCAUCCAAAGGCAAAGAAAUUAUUAUUGUUAUAAUCAGGUAGAUUUUUUAUGUAUAAUGUAUUAAUAAAAAAAUAUUAAAAGUACAAUGCUUUAAUAAAAAGAACUGAAGGGUACAAUUUGUAAUAGAAAUAAAGUAUAAUAAUAGCACUAUAGUAGUGAAUAUUGCUUUUUAUAAUAGUGUAAUAGGAAGAAGAAUUAUUUUCAAAGUUCAGUGGUUUAAUAAGAAAAAGUAACGAAAAAAUAGAAUGGUUUAAUAGAAAUAAAUGUAAGUAUGAUGCUAUAAAACACAAAUAAUUAAAAGGAAAAUUGCUUUUUUUGUAUUUAAAUAAAAUUACAUCGACAUUUCUUGCAUUUUACAAAAAUUUCAUAUAAAUACAUAUAGAAAUUGGGUAGCUAUAUACAAAAAUAAAUGGAAAUACGUAGCAAUUUCUUGCAUUUAAUACAAAUUUUAUAACCAAGGAUCAUGAAGGACUCGAUUGAUAUGAAGAUUCAAAUCUCUAAACAUCAUAAAUCAAAAGUCAACUUGAACAAAUCACAAUCCGUUAAUCAAAAUCAACUUCAUAAGAAAAAAGGAAUUGAAAUUCACCUGAUCAUAAUUAAGGUCCUCUGAAGAAUUAUCAAGAGCAGCAAUAGUCCCAACAGGUUGACCACGAAAGUUGACCAAUGAUCUUCUCAAAGCCUCCCAAGCAUCUCCAACAAUCGGAUGAGGCUCAAAAUACCCACUCCGAGGAGUUCCAGUCCAUCUCCCCGGAGAAUAAACGCCGUCGAGAUUAUCAAACCCCCGUGAUGAAUUAUCGCUCAUUUUGUAGAAAUUAUUACGUGGUGGCGACAUCGUAAUCGACAUUUCACUAAAUGAUCUUUCAUCGAACGAUCUUUUUCUCUCGAUGUUUACUGGUCGCGGUUUUUCUAGAAGCCUCGUUAGAUCGGAGUCAUCGAUUUCGAAUAAAGAAGGUGUUGUUUGUUCUUCCUCUUUUGCUUUUACAGACCCGUUUGACGUCCCUUCUAUCGUUGUCGGAGCCAUUGUUUGAUUAAUUUUUGAAGAAACUUCGAAAUUCUGAUCUGGUCAAUAAAGUCAAACGAUAAAUUUUUUGAAUUCAGAUCUGGUCAAACGUUUUCAACCGAAGGUAAACAAACUUCAAUCAGAUCAUUACAUGUUCAUCUUAAUUCCACAUUUUUCGAAUGAAUCAAAGAAUAAGAAGAAAUCGACUGAAUCGAAAUACGAGUUAUGUUCUUAGUUGUUUUCAGAGUUUUAUUAAGGGCCUAGCAAAAUCCAGAAGUAAUAUCGUGAAUUAACUAACAUGUCUAAUGUCAAAACCCUAAAAAUCGAAUCAUGAACUGGAAGAAAAGCAAAGAUUGAAGCUAAUUCAUAUCGUAAAUCAUUGGAAUGGGGAAGAGAGAAAGAAGAAUCAAACCUGGGGAACUUGGUAGAUGAGGAAAUCGAUGAAACCUAGAAAAGAGGCGUUGAAGGCAUCAUCAAACUUAAACAAAGAGGGAUCAAAAGAGUAUACUUUAUUCAAAAUGAAAGAAGGUGACCCCCUACUGAACAGGCCUACAUAUAUAGGUGACAAAACGGUGGAGUUUCAAAAAUAGACCUUAUACUUUAGCAAGUUUUGCAAAUUCAGUCCUCCGUUAGUUUCCUUUUUCAUUUGGGUUAACGGAUAUCCACAUUUGUAUAUGGUAUUUUGGAUACUAUCAUGACCAAGUUUAGACUUUAAAAAAGGUUCAUUGACAUUUAUAUGACUUUUGUUAGUUGUCAUAUUUUUACAAUUGUAAAUAAAUAUGAUAAACUUUAAUCAACAAAUUAUAUAAAAAAAAGAUGGUUAGCAUUUUAUAUAAUUAUCUUAUUUAACUUUUUAUAAACGUUGUAAACGGGUUUCCUCAACAAAAUAUGCAACAAACUAUAUAAUUUGGUUUCUUGAUAAUAGUUUUUAUAAAAAAUUAACUAUAAAAGAUUUCAUAUAAAUAAUUACACGAUCGUUAACUUUAUUUUUAAAAUCAGAGAAAACUCCAUUGAUCAGAGACAAUCGCUAGUAGGGAUAAUAUUCGAACAAUAAACAAGGUAUUAUUGAUAUUUACAAAACAAACAAAGUUCAAUAGUAGAAAACAAAUAUUAUUCCCUCCAAAAUUAGAACAAAUUCUUGAUAAUGGGUAUGGCAUUAUACUAGAAGUGUAUCCAAAAUUGUCCACUUUUAGCCCAAAAAGUAUAUAUAUAAUCUUUUAACUAGUCAAGUUGUUAUUUUACAUAUAACUCUUUAACUAUACUAGUCAAAGACUUAUCACAUGAGCAUAUGAGUAGUGCUUUGGUUUUUGCCGUUAUAAUAAUAAGGAAUAUUCAAUCAAACAAGACAUAAGAGGGCCAGUUUUGCAAAACCAGGUAAAGUACAAGGUCCUUUUGGUGAAUACUGGACGACUGUUUGUUACAGCUUAAAAUGUGUGUGAAGUUUUAACGAACCCAAGCAACCGGACAAACCGGAUAAGUUAGAGUAAUACAGAUAAAGUUUACCGACACGUGGAAUUAUCUUGGAAGAUCCGACGAAAUUUUUUGGAGAAAUCUACGGUCAACUUGUCCGGUUGUAAUCUGGAGUAUCCGGUACGGAUUUGGCAGAUUCUUUCUAUUUUAUCACAAAAAAGGAAAAAGGAUGAUAAAAAAGAAAGUUACCUUUUUUCCAUAAAUUUGGUAAAUCUUUUAUUCACUUGUAUAUCCACAAAAAUUACGAAAUGGGAAAUGACGUAUUGGGUCAAAAUAAAUAAAGAAAAUAUGAGAAAUGUUUAGAUGAGAUCAAGCGUUAUAUUUUAUAAUAAAUAACGUAGUAGUAUUAAACAAUAAUUUAAAAGAUUGUAGAGAUAUUAGUAUGUUUUACGGGUUUUAAACGGUUCGAUCAUUUUUAUUUAGUUUAGUUUGUAUUGAAACUGGUUUGUGUAUAAUAUUUUUCUCUAUAUAUAGUAGUUUAUCCUUUAAAAUUUUAUAUUAUAUAUAAUCAUGUAAAAUCUAAAUGCUUGUGUAUGCUUUUCCAUUUUUGUAUAAGAUGUUGUCUUCUUUGUUUAUUAAAUUAUAACUUUCAACUCAGAUAUAAGGGUAAAUUACAUGAAUGGUCCAUGUCUCUAACAACGUAAAUUUUCAAAACAAUUUUUCAUUUUUCAAAUAAAAUAAAACUCAUUCAAUAUUUUCAAAUUUCAAGUUUAACAAAUGUCAUCAUGAUAAAAACAUAUCCCAAAAUCAUAAAAUAAAUCUUCUGCCAGUGUGUACGGAUCAUGCCGGCGCUUUCCCGCGAUCAUCGCUAGUACCUGAAACACAUAACACAUAACACUGUAAGCAUAAAUGCUUAUUGAGUUCCCCAAAAUACCACAUACAACACAUACGCCACUCAAGGCCAUAACUCUAUGGGAUCUUCCAAUCCAUGUGUCUCAGGGGACUUCCGUCCCAACUCUAGUAGACCUUCCGGCCCUACCUGUAUGACCUUCCGGUCCAUACAUUGUUGACCUUCCGGUCCAUAUCAUGGUACUCAUAACAUAGCAUAACACAUACAUAUCAGAUAGCAACAUAUAUCACAUACUUCGCAUAACAUAUAAGACCUUCCGGUCACACAUAGUUACCACUCUAGGUAAAGUAUAAUGAGAAGACUCACCUCAUAUACUGUCUAGUAACUCACGUGCUCGGUAUCCCUGAACCUCGUAACAAUGACCUAGCCCCGCCUAAACACAUAGCAAUCAUCUCAAAUCAAUAACGGCUCUCCAGGCUAGACUAGUCCGUUCCAAUGUUCUCUUAGAAGGCUAAAAGACCAUUUUACCCUUCUAAUGGUCCAAAAGUCCAAGUGUUGACCCAACCCUAAAAGUCAACGAAAGUCAACAGUCAAACUUUGACCAGACUCGUCGAGUGCACAUAGGUGACUCGGCGAGUCCAAGCGUGUCCUCUGGAUCUUUCUAAACCUCACUCGACUUGUCGAGUGAACCUUCCACUCGACGGGCUACUACUGGUCAAGAGUCGCGAGGCAACCCGACUCGACUCGUCGAGUCCCCUUAUGGACUCGGUGAGUUUCUUCCAUGACAAUCACCCAAACGACCUUCUAAGGUCAGAUCUGCUUCUCUAACCUAUAGAUCUGACUUCCCCAUGUCCAAUAAUCACGUAAAGGUGAAAUCUUGACACUCAUGCAACGCACUCAAGGCUUCUUUUGGUGAAAUGGCUUCUAAAAUGGCAUCCUAGGUUCAUUUCCUCCAUGGAACAACAUAAAGCGGGAUAGAUAAUGCUCUCUAUACCUCUAAAGGUCCAGAUCCAGAGUCUAACACUCAAAGGGACAACAUAUGCAUCAAUUCAAACCAAUAAAGGGGUAGAGAAAACCCUAACUUCAAGGAUCUUGUACAAAACAGAAGAAGGGAUCGAUUUACUACCUCAACAAUGAAGACCCAAGCUUGAAAACCACAGAAUCGCAAUCCCCUUGACCUUCUCUUGCUGGAAACACCUUCUUCUUUGCAAAGCCACAACAAAAAGGAUCAAAAUAGCUCUCUCUCUCUCUCUCUCUCUCUCUCUCACAACUCGCUCAAGCUCUCUAGGAUUUCUCUCUCUGGACUGGUAGCCGCAAAUGAGGGUUAUAAGGUCCCUUAAAUAGAGCACAGGCCCGGAUAUUUAGGAUUUAUGACCUCAGCGCGGACUCGUCGAGUCCACCCAUUGACUCGUCGAGCCGUUCAUUAAUCCAGUCAGCAAAUCGCGAUCCUACUCGAUGAGUCUAAGCAUCAACUCGUCGAGUCCCUCCUCAUAACUCAAAAUAAACAAUUAAAAUAUGAUACCUGGAAAUCCGGAUGUUACAAUGUGGUUUAGGGUAAUAUCUAAUAGGAUAAGUGUUUGGUUUCUUACAAAUUUUUUGUAACUCGAACCAUCGCUAUAAUUUGCCUUUUAUGUGUUUGGUCCCUCACAAGCAUAAAAAGACUAUAUUGUCCUCGUGUUUUUUUUUGAAUUUAUUUUAUUGUUUAUUUGUUAUUGAAGACAAAAUUAUAUGAAUUGGUCCCACUAAUUGCCAUCUCUUGCUCACAGCCUCACCCUCAACUUCUAACCCCUUUUCAUCUUUAACUUCAAUUUCGACGAACCAACACAAAACUCACCACCUUCUCUUGACUUUUGUACAACCACCACCCAACCUCUCACAACCCUUGUAGGAAUGAUCCUGUAAUGCAAAAAUGUAGAAACAGACCAAUUGCAAAACCAUAAUCUGAUAUACAAAUGCAAAACAAAACCUAAAACCCAAAUAAAGGUCAAAAUCGAUCGAUUUUUGAAAAUAAUAAUAAUAAUAAUAAUAAUUUUGAUCGAUUUUUGAAAAUGAAAACCAAAAUCACAAAACCCGAUCAUACUUAAGAGAACUAAAAUCAAUCUAUUUAUCUACAAGUAAUCAAUCUAUUUAUCUACAAGUUUUGGAUUCUGAAAUAGGACAUUCUUCACUCCCGUCGGCUCCCUAUCGUGAUGCUCAAAUGAGGUUCAAACCUGCAAUAAGUAAAAUGGAUCACAUAAGAACUGUUUUUUGGUAUAUCUGGUGUUUGUUAUGGUCGACUCCCCAUUGUGAUGCUCUGGCGAACGCAUGUACCAGCACCUGUCAUCAAUGAGAUUCUCGUCAAUAAGCUGAUUGUUUAGAGUUCUAUGGAGUUCUCGAAGAUGGAGAGGAGGGGGACAAGGGUCGCCGAUGAAAGAUAAGGUCGUCUAAGAGGGUGGGUCGUUGACGAGGGUAAGGUCGUCGAUGUUGGAGGGAUAUAGCUUCUUUAGUUAUAGUUUUAGGUAAUUUAGGUUACACGGAAAAGGCAUUGAGAGAUUUAAUAGAAAACGUUAGUUUAGGGUGGGCCGAUAGGUGGGUGAAUUAAUUUGUUUUACUUUUUUUUUAACAUAAAAUAAAAUAUACUGAUAAAAAAAUAAUAUAUAUANNNNNNNNNNNNNNNNNNNNNNNNNNNNNNNNNNNNNNNNNNNNNNNNNNNAAUGGUAAAAUGGGUUUUUUUUUAAGCGGUGACUAAACGCACAACAAAAAUAAAUUAUAUCAACGGUCCGAAUUAUAAAAAAAUUAUAAAGGACAAAACAUAAAGAUUGCCCUACAAUAUAUAAGUUCGUAAAAUUUACUGUAGAUAUAAAACUCAAUAACCUUAUUCUCUUAAAAUGGUAAAAUAUAUCUUUAGAGGCUCAUAUAUUGUUUCCUUUGUUUUAGUAAUUAUUUUACAAAUAGUAUGAGACACGAUACUUUGUAUUCACACUUUUCACGCCAACCAAUAUUUUGGUGUAAACAAUUAAACGUUUAUAUUGGGUUAUAUGUAAAAUUAAAUAUUAUAUUGUUGCACGUAAGUACAAAACGUCUCGACUCCAAUUGAAUAUCCAAAAUAGAGAAAGCUUCUAGAUUUUUUUUAUUACCACUAUCUUCUAGUGACUAUUAAUAAAAUAAAUAACUAAAUUCCAAAUAGAAUAUGAAUAACUUUAUUUUUAUGAUGGUUCAAAUAAGCAUUAUAUUUUUCAUUUGGAAAAGAUGGAGUAUUAUUUUGUUUAUUAUUUGGUGUCACAUCCAUGUCAAUAUUAGAUUAUGUGACAUUUGGUUUUAGGACUUAAAGAACUUUAAAAUAAAAAUAAAACUUUUUAUCAAAGAUACAGGUGAAAAUAUUGUGCACAAUUGAGUAUGUCAAGGAUGGCAUAGAUCUUGUGUGAAGAGUAAAAGACUCAACAAACUAACCCAAAUGGUUCAAGAAAAUUUCCAAUGAAACAACAACUAGCUUCUCUGUUAGGGUUGUUUGAUUUCAAUCUAGCUGAUCUAGUUAGAGUUUUUUUCUUUGAUUUGGUCAGGUUGGUUUGUUUGAUUUGCACAUUUAAUGAUUUGACAUUGUUCUUACCGAUACAAUAAAAAAAUUAGUUGACUGAGAACCUUCACAUUUUUACCCCUUGCGGCGAUCUCCUUCGGCUUUGAACUAGCAACAUUAUAGUCAAAUCCUCAUCAUCUCAACGACAACAAUCCUUAAUCCAUGUGACACCGCUGCCAUCAUCCAGCCUCGUUGUCGUCAUCACUUUCAUCCUCCAUCGUCGUCACUAAUUGAUAUGUAGUAUUAAAAAUUGAUAUUGUAACUAUUGUUUUACGUGUUUUGGAUAAUCAAAAGAUCUUGGUGAAGGUCAAAUUCGAUCGUUCAGGUGAUAUCAAAAGGAUUUACGGUUGAACUUGAAUUCAUUUAGCUUAAAACUAAAAAUCAUAUUGUUUUUCCUUUAUAAAUGAGACUUCAUAGUUCCUUUAGCAUCAUUGGUUCUAACCAUUUGUUUGCAACAACUUACCUAUCAAACCAUCUAUGCUAAUCGAUUUGUUUAAUUGUUAGCUUUUAGAUCAUAUGUUGUAUACAUGCAUCUUUAACUGAUGCAUAAUAUGUCGGGAUUUUCGGUUACAUAAAUGUUGAACGUGUUACUCUACUUGAGGAUGCUGUAAGUUAUCAUCAUAUAUUUGACAAAUAAAACUAUUGCAAUUUUAAUAUUGAUAUAUGAAACAAAUGUUUUGAUUUUAGGAUUAUUGCAUAACUUUAAGCCAAUAUGAAGAUGGAAUAGUGCUUCAUUCUGUAACGCCUGUGUUUCGGGCUUGCCAUUUGUAGCAAUGUAAUAGUCUAGGUUAACCUUUGUAACCCGUUUUGAAAUAAUAAAAGUGUAUUAUUUGAGUAUUAUGUGUUUUGUGCUUAAUUGCUUAAUUAUGUGGUUUGAUUAAUUAAGAAUAAAAAUAAGCGUCAAAAUUUAAGUGUAAAAUAAACUUAAUAUCUUUGGUUAAUGUUGUAGUAAUUGAAACGAGGUUUUCGAAUAUAUAUAGAACGCCCAAAUCUGACUUCGUAUGAGGAAGUUAUGAUUUAUCGAAGUUCCGGCUUAGCGAUAUACAGCAUGUUUUACUCGAUUUGAGAUCGAGCGGUUGUUAGCCGAAGCAAUCUAAAUGAGAAUCAAAGAUCUCAUUGUUGGUAUUGAAACGAUAAAAAGUUAGGCGAGAACGGACGUCAAACGAAGAAGUUAUGAAUUUAUAACGAAAGUUUCUGUCCCGGCCUAUUAAAAAUAAUUAAUAAAAAUAAAGUCAAAAUUAGCCGACGGAGUCUAAACGAAAGUCGUAGAGCGUAGUCUCACCUUCGCGUGGAUAUAAAGAACGUCGAAAACGGAGUUCGUAUGAAGAAGUUAUGAAUUUCCGAAGUUUAUUAAUCAUUUUGUAUUUAUAUUUAAAUCAAAAUUCGGAAGCAUUAUCCGAAGGAGUCACCGAUCUGAUCCGAGGUACGCCCCGCGUACUCCGAGGGAUGUCGACACUCGCACUCGAGCACUUCGGAUACGUAAGCAAUGACGUUUUGGGCAGUACGCCCCGCGUAACGCAGUACGCCCCGCGUACUCCGAGGCUCCAGCCUCCUAUAAAUAGGAUGCGAGGGUUCCGGGUAUUUUUGCCAAUUCCCUCUCGUUUUCGUGUCGAAGCUCUGUGCAAAAACCCCCGAAGCUACCCCGAAGUCCCGGUAUCAUACUCUAGCCCCGAGGCAAGUCCCGAGAUCCCGAAGAUCCCGAAAAGUGCGGUUCCCGAGUCGAAGCUCUGCCCGCGAGAAGUUCGAUUUUCGAGAAGAUCUUCCAGAUCUGCUGUGGAUUACUACUUCUAUAAGCCGUAGUGCUGUCCGAUCAUCUUCUGAUCAAGUGAGUGUGUAGUUAUUUCUUCUAAUACAAUAAUACGAAGUAUUUUAUAUAAAAAUACGUGCUAUGUGUAUAUAUUUGGUUGUGUUAUGUGUGAAUGAGUAUUCACUCUCUUCUAUCUUAUAGAUCUGCUUAUUUCUUUAUGAGAUAUGUGUUAUGUGUGUGUGUGCCUCAUCUGUUAUGUGAUAUAUGUGUUGAUUAAAGCAUGCUAUACAGGUUUUCUUUAAACUAUGUAUACAAAUGUAUAUUUUUAUCUACUAAUAUGUUGGGUAGAACAUGGGUAGACAGUUGGUGUGUAAUAAACAGAUGAGAGGCCUCGUUGUUGUUUGAUUGAGUCAUCUAGCGGAGUUUAGAUGACGACCACUGGCUAUUCUAGACAGUCUUGUGGAAACAUUAGCAGGUUCGCCACCUGUAGGUGUUAAUGAACUUGGGUGUUCAUUCGCUGUACUCCAUCCCCCUCAUGGUUGCCUUAUUUGACUUAUAUUGCUGAGGUACCCCCGAAGCAUGUGUUGUCGCCCCGAUGAAAUAUUCUUAGACUAGGUCCCUUAUGUUAGUUGUUUUAGGGACAUUAAAGUGAGAAUAACGGGAAUGGGUAAUUGGGUUAUUGUUGGUUGGUGAAAAUUAAAUAUGAUAUUUAUUGUGGGUUGAAAACCCUAUAUGCUCACCAGGCUCCCAAGCCUGACCCACUCAGUUUUAAAUUGUAUUACAGGUAGUGGCGGAAGGGCAUGAGAUGGAUGAACCAUCAAGUUGUUUUGUUUACAAGUCUGCAUAUGUUUAUAUUUGUUAUAUGACUUGUAAUGUAUUCGUUUAUGCUUAUUGGUCUGUAUCGGAACAUGACACCCCGAGUUUUGAUUAUAAUGAAAAUACAUUUCUUUUAUGAAAUGCUUCGGUAAACAAUGUUUUAUCAUGUUUUGUUUUUGGGAACAAAUUCCGCAACUCUUUCAAAUCAAAAGGAUUUACUCUGAAAAUAUUUAAAAGCAUAAAUGAAAAUCGGUCUUUUCUGGCCGAGAUUUUGGGGAUGUCACAGUUGGUAUCAGAGCAUUAGUUUAAGCGAACUAGGAAUUUGUAGGAUUUCUAGACUUAAACUUAGAAUGCUAAGUGAAGUUUUGAGAUGUGUGUCUGUUGUGAUUUAGACACGAGCACUAGUUUAUUUUAGGAAAGUUGCCUAAAAUGCUUUAUGUGCUAAAUGUUAUAUGUUGCCAUAUAUGAUAUUAUUUGUUCGGAUCUAUGGUCUGUUGCCGACCGGAUCUAGAAACCUUAUGUGUGUAGGAUUCUAAGCGUACGUCUACGAUAUUAGAACUAGCAUGUAAACGUUUCGGAGUGAUAAGGAUGAUUUGAAUAUCUAUCAUGAUUGAGGAUCUAAUUUCACCUUAUUCGGUGUAGAUCAAAAUGGUGAGAACAAGAAGUGGAGUUGGAAAUGCUGACGAAAACAGGAAUCAACCACCAGUGAUUGAGCCAAUACCUGUCGUAGCAGCAGCACCUGAGCCAAUAACCAUGGCUGGUGUGCAAUUGAUGAUUCAGACGAUGUUGGAUCGUCAGAUGGAUGAAACUAGACGGUUGCUUCAACAAAAUCGUGAAGAACUGUCGAUUCGUGUGGAAGAGCCUGAACUGAAUGAAGGGCACUCGGAAGGUGGAAACUUCAGUGGGUCUGUUGGUCCAGCCAACCCACCGAUAGUUAGGCAAGAUAACCAUGAUGGAAGGAAUGAUGGAAUGGGAUGCAAGUACAAGGACUUUUUGACUUGUAAACCAUCGACCUUCAAUGGAAAGGAGGAUCCGAUUGGGGUUAUGGAUUGGAUCUCCGAAAUGGAGUUAGCCUUUAUGACAUGUGGCUGUAGAGGCAAGUUGCAGACUAUCUAUGCCGUGCGACAAUUCCGAGGUGGAGCCGUUCGUUGGUGGAACACUCUAGGGAAGACCUUAAGCCCUAAUGAGCCACUGCAAUUGUCAUGGGCAGAGUUCUUGGUGCAGUUCAAGCGCAAGUUCUGCUCGGCUCAAAAUCUGUUGGAGUUGGAGAACAAGUUUUUGACAUUGACGAAGGGUAGCAUGUCAGUGGAUGAGUACACCAAUAACUUCACCGAUAAGAUGGAGUUUGCCUUGCGUAUCGUUCCAGACGAGCUGACAAAGGUGGAUCGGUAUGCGAAGGGACUUCCAUGGGAGUACGAGGUGCCGGUACGUCAGGCACUUACUCUAGAGGCAGCUAUCUGGGCUGCCAAGUCUGUGGAGAACAUGAUCAAGGGGAGAACCACCGUCAAGGUUGAGGUUGGUGAGAAAAGGAAGUUUGAAGGAACAUCUGGUUCCAGUAAGAAGAGCAAAUUUUCGAAAUCUGAUUCGAAAAAGUUUGGAGGAAAAGGAGGCGAAGCAAAGUGGUGUGAUAAGUGUAAGAAAAAGCACUUUGGGAAAUGUAGCGAGGAUGUGACCUGCUACAAGUGUGGAAAGGUUGGACAUUUUGCCAAUGAAUGUCCGAACAACAAAAGGAUGUGUUUUGGGUGUAAUGAAGAGGGGCAUAUUUUGAAAGACUGUCCGAAGAAGAAGGAGGCAGCUAGGCCCAACAUUCCACCAAAGCCGAAGGCGAGAGCCUUCCAGAUGACACUUGAGGCUGCGAAAGAUGAAGCUGAUGUCGCUUCAGGUACCUUUCUCGUAAACGAAUUACCUGCUCAUAUAUUGUUUGAUUCUGGAGCCAACUACUCCUUUAUUUCGCAUGAGUUUGGUAGAAAGCUAGCUUUGCCUGUUGAUAGACUAGAUAAUGCUUUAUUAGUCGAAGUAGCUAGUGGCAAGUUUGUACCUGUUAGCCAUCGUAUGAAAAACGUCUUGAUCGACCUUAAUGGGAAUAAGUUUCUCGAGGAAUUAUUGCCUAUCGAACUAAAUGGUUUCGACAUCGUCUUGGGAAUGGAUUGGCUUAGCGCCAAUGAUGCCGAAAUUUUGUGCAAGAAGAAGAUAGUUAAAGUAAACCCGCCUGGGAAAGAUUCGUUUAUGGUGUAUGGGGACAAACGCAGAGUGAAUUCUGGAAUCAUUUCUCUAAUGAAAGCCAGAAAGUGUUUGACCAAGGGAUGUACAUCAUAUUUAGCAUUCGUGAUUGAUGCUAAGAAAGAAAAGAAGGUGAUGCAGAGCAUUCCAGUGGUGUGUGAUUAUCCGGAAGUAUUUCCCGAGGAUCUUCCUGGAUUACCACCUGAUAGACAAGUGGAGUUCAGAAUAGACUUGUUACCAGGAACCACGCCAAUAGCAAAAGCACCUUAUCGAUUAGCACCGACGGAGAUGAAGGAGCUGAUGAUGCAACUUCAGGAGUUAUUGGACAAAGGUUUCAUUAGACCUAGUUCAUCGCCCUGGGGAGCUCCGGUGUUAUUUGUAAAGAAGAAAGAUGGAAGUAUGAGAAUGUGCAUCGAUUACAGAGAGCUGAACAAGGCAACAAUAAAGAAUAGAUAUCCGUUGCCGAGGAUUGAUGACCUGUUUGAUCAAUUGCAAGGUUCGAGCUAUUUCUCGAAGAUCGAUCUUAGGUCAGGAUAUCAUCAGCUGAAAGUAAGAGAGCAAGAUAUCGAGAAGACUGCAUUCAGAACUAGAUAUGGACACUACGAGUUCUUGGUUAUGUCGUUUGGACUAACCAAUGCUCCAGCAGCGUUCAUGGAUUUGAUGAAUAGGGUUUGUAAUCCUUUCCUUGAUAAAUCCGUGAUAGUGUUCAUAGACGACAUUCUGAUCUACUCGAAAAGCCAGGAGGAGCAUGGCAGACACUUGCGAGAAGUGUUAGAAGUUUUGAAGAAGGAGAAGCUUUAUGCGAAGUUCUCCAAAUGUGAUUUUUGGAUUCGUGAGGUCCAAUUCUUGGGUCACGUGGUCAACCAAGAAGGGAUAAUGGUUGAUCCAGCGAAGAUCGAAGCUGUGACGAAGUGGGAACAACCGAAAAGUCCCACGGAGAUUCGAAGCUUUUUAGGAUUAGCCGGAUAUUACCGAAGGUUUAUCCAAGGCUUUUCUUCGAUUGCUACUCCAUUAACAGCUUUGACCCACAAAGGAGCUACUUAUGCUUGGAGUGAGAAGCAUAAAGAAGCAUUCGAGAAGUUAAAGAAGAAGCUAUGCGAGGCACCGAUACUUUCUCUACCCGAUGGAGUUGAAGACUUCGCUGUUUAUAGCGAUGCGUCUGGUGUUGGAUUGGGUUGUGUUUUGACCCAAAGAGAAAAGGUGAUAGCAUAUGCGUCUCGACAGCUGAAAGAGCAUGAAAAGAAUUACCCGACUCAUGAUUUGGAGUUGGCAGCGGUAGUUUUCGCUCUGAAAAUAUGGAGGCAUUACCUCUAUGGCACGAAGUGCAAACUUUUCACUGAUCAUAAGAGUCUCCAAUACCUCUUUAAUCAGAAAGAAUUGAAUAUGAGGCAACGACGCUGGCUAGAAUUACUUAAAGACUACGACUGCGAGAUACUUUACCACCCCGGUAAAGCUAAUGUUGUUGCUGAUGCUCUCAGUCGGAAAGUCAAUCUUGAAAGGAAGAGGCCAAGAGCGUUGAGAAUUGAAGUUGUCUCGACUAUUGUGGAAAGUAUAAAGAAAGCUCAAGAGGAAGCUUCUGAGAAAAAUGACCGAAAGGAGGAACGUUUGGGUAAAACGUUGGUGUUUGGUACUAACGGUCAUGGACUGAAGGUAUUCCAAGAUCGUAUUUGGGUACCUAAGUCAGGAGGAAUUAGGGAUCUUCUGAUGGAAGAAGCUCACAAAACCAUGUACUCAAUUCAUCCGGGUAGCACUAAAAUGUAUAGGGACCUGAAACCCUACUACUGGUGGCCGACGAUGAAGCUUGAUGUUGCAAAGUAUGUGGCCGAGUGUGUGACUUGUGCGAGAGUCAAGACACAACAUCAGAAACCUUACGGGAGUUUAGAACCAUUGCCUGUGCCUAUGGGUAAGUGGGAAGACAUUGCUAUGGAUUUUGUCACUAAACUGCCCAGAACAAAGAAUGGUCACGACAUGAUUUGGGUGGUCGUUGAUCGAUUCACUAAGAGUGCGCAUUUCAUAGCGGCCAGGGAGAAAUGGUCUAUGGAAAAGCUUGCGAAUUCUUACGUGAAGGAAAUUGUGAGGCUUCACGGUGUUCCGUUAACGAUUGUAUCGGAUCGUGAUAGCCGUUUCACCUCAAGGUUUUGGAAAAGUCUACAAGAGGAAAUGGGUACCAAGUUAUGUUUAAGCACAGCUUACCAUCCGCAGACUGAUGGUCAGAGUGAAAGAACAAUACAAACACUUGAAGAUAUGCUGAGAGCAUGUACCUUGGAAUUCCUAGGUAAUUGGGAUGAACAUUUACCGUUGGUAGAAUUUUCCUAUAAUAAUAGUUUUCACUCGAGCAUUAAGAUGGCACCUUAUCAAGCUUUGUAUGGACAGAAGUGUCGUACGCCGUCUUGUUGGCUUGAGGCUGGGGAAAAGCAGUUUAUGGGACCGGAGAUGGUUCAUCAAACUGCUGAAAAGUUGAAAAUAAUUAGGGAAAGAAUGUUAGCAGCUCAAGAUCGUCAAAAGAGCUAUGCUGACAAGAAGCGAAGACCGAUGACUUUUGAGGUUGGAGAUUCGGUUUUGCUUAAAGUCUCGCCGUGGAAGGGACUUAUAAGAUUUGGUAAAAGGGGAAAGUUGAGUCCAAGGUUUAUUGGACCGUUUAAAGUCCUUCAGAGGAUUGGGAAUCAAGCUUACAAGCUCGAAUUACCCGAAGAACUGAAUGGAAUUCACAACACCUUUCAUGUGUGUUAUUUGAGGAAGUUCACGGGAGAAGUUCCCGAUAUAAUUCCAAUUUCUGAAUUGAGAAUUGAUGAGAACAAAAGGUUGAUUGAAGAACCAGAGGCAAUUGUUGACCGAAAGACUAAGAAGUUGCGACGCAAAAUGGUUGGGUUAGUGCUUGUCCGAUGGAAACACACGAAUGGGCCGAAUCUCACCUGGGAGACGGAGAGUGACAUGUUGAGUCGCUAUCCGCAUUUGUUUGUUGAUGUGUGAUUCCGGGGACGGAAUCAUUCUAAGGUGGAGAGAAUUGUAACGCCUGUGUUUCCGGGCUUGCCAUUUUUAGCAAUGUAAUAGUCUAGGUUAACCUUUGUAACCCGUUUUGAAAUAAUAAGAUUGUAUUAUUUGAGUAUUAUGUGUUUUGUGCUUAAUUGCUUAAUUAUGUGGUUUGAUUAAUUAAGAAUAAAAAUAAGCGUCAAAAUUUAAGUGUAAAAUAAACUUAAUAUCUUUGGUUAAUGUUGUAGUAGUUGAAACGAGGUUUCCGAAUAUAUAUAGAACGCCCAAAUCUGACUUCGUAUGAGGAAGUUAUGAUUUAUCGAAGUUCCGGCUUAGCGAUAUACAGCCUGUUUUACUCGAUUUGAGAUCGAGCGGUUGUUAGCCGAAGCAAUCUAAAUGAGAAUCGAAGAUCUCAUUGUUGGUAUUGAAACGAUAAAAAGUUAGGCGAGAACGGACGUCAAACGAAGAAGUUAUGAAUUUAUAACGAAAGUUUCUGUCCCGGCCUAUUAAAAAUAAUUAAUAAAAAUAAAGUCAAAAUUAGCCGACGGAGUCUAAACGAAAGUCGUAGAGCGUGGUCUCACCUUCGCGUGGAUAUAAAGAACGUCGAAAACGGAGUUCGUAUGAAGAAGUUAUGAAUUUCCGAAGUUUAUUAAUCAUUUUGUAUUUAUUUUUAAUUCAAAAUUCGGAAGCAUUAUCCGAAGGAGUCACCGAUCUGAUCCGAGGUACGCCCCGCGUACUCGAGUACGCCCCGCGUACUCCGAGGGAUGUCGACACUCGCACUCGAGCACUUCGGAUACGUAAGCAAUGACGUUUUGGGCAGUACGCCCCGCGUAACGCAGUACGCCCCGCGUACUCCGAGGCUCCAGCCUCCUAUAAAUAGGAUGCGAGGGUUCCGGGUAUUUUUGCCAAUUCCCUCUCGUUUUCGUGUCGAAGCUCUGUGCAAAAACCCCCGAAGCUACCCCGAAGUCCCGGUAUCAUACUCUAGCCCCGAGGCAAGUCCCGAGAUCCUGAAGAUCCCGAAAAGUGCGGUUCCCGAGUCGAAGCUCUGCCCGCGAGAAGUUCGAUUUUCGAGAAGAUCUUCCAGAUCUGCUGUGGAUUACUACUUCUAUAAGCCGUAGUGCUGUCCGAUCAUCUUCUGAUCAAGUGAGUGUGUAGUUAUUUCUUCUAAUACAAUAAUACGAAGUAUUUUAUAUAAAAAUACGUGCUAUGUGUAUAUAUUUGGUUGUGUUAUGUGUGAAUGAGUAUUCACUCUCUUCUAUCUUAUAGAUCUGCUUAUUUCUUUAUGAGAUAUGUGUUAUGUGUGUGUGUGCCUCAUCUGUUAUGUGAUAUAUGUGUUGAUUAAAGCAUGCUAUACAGGUUUUCUUUAAACUAUGUAUACAAAUGUAUAUUUUUAUCUACUAAUAUGUUGGGUAGAACAUGGGUAGACAGUUGGUGUGUAAUAAACAGAUGAGAGGCCUCGUUGUUGUUUGAUUGAGUCAUCUAGCGGAGUUUAGAUGACGACCACUGGCUAUUCUAGACAGUCUUGUGGAAACAUUAGCAGGUUCGCCACCUGUAGGUGUUAAUGAACUUGGGUGUUCAUUCGCUGUACUCCAUCCCCCUCAUGGUUGCCUUAUUUGACUUAUAUUGCUGAGGUACCCCCGAAGCAUGUGUUGUCGCCCCGAUGAAAUAUUCUUAGACUAGGUCCCUUAUGUUAGUUGUUUUAGGGACAUUAAAGUGAGAAUAACGGGAAUGGGUAAUUGGGUUAUUGUUGGUUGGUGAAAAUUAAAUAUGAUAUUUAUUGUGGGUUGAAAACCCUAUAUGCUCACCAGGCUCCCAAGCCUGACCCACUCAGUUUUAAAUUGUAUUACAGGUAGUGGCGGAAGGGCAUGAGAUGGAUGAACCAUCAAGUUGUUUUGUUUACAAGUCUGCAUAUGUUUAUAUUUGUUAUAUGACUUGUAAUGUAUUCGUUUAUGCUUAUUGGUCUGUAUCGGAACAUGACACCCCGAGUUUUGAUUAUAAUGAAAAUACAUUUCUUUUAUGAAAUGCUUCGUUAAACGAUGUUUUAUCAUGUUUUGUUUUUGGGAACAAAUUCCGCAACUCUUUCAAAUCAAAAGGAUUUACUCUGAAAAUAUUUAAAAGCAUAAAUGAAAAUCGGUCUUUUCUGGCCGAGAUUUUGGGGAUGUUACACAUUCGCUACCCUGCAAGUAUAGUAUCCUAAAAGGAAAUGAACAAGUUUAAAAAAUCAAAAGAAUCUGGAUUUCACACGGGCUAGUAUGUUGUAACAACCCAAAAAUCAAGGGUAAAAAUUUCAUUUUUCAUUAUAGUCAAACACCAAUGUUACUUAAUCCAACCAUUCAAAAAUCAUUGCUUGAUUAAAACAUUCAUCAGAGUUACAUCUCAAAAUCACAUAAUGCGGAAAAGCACGGGUGUGUGUGGUGCGAUCAAGUCAGACCCUUCCUUUCCAAACCAAUGAUAGUUGAAACCAUAAACAAAGCUGUAAGCACGAAGCUUAGUGAGUUCCCCAUAGCAUACCCCACAUAAUCCACAUAAGUCAUAUAACCGCAUAAACCAUUUCAAUCACAUAAGCCAUAUCAGUCACAUAAGUCAUGCAUAUAAAUAUAUAGGGAUGUCGUGGAAACCCUCCAAGGUCUUACACCGGGUGCCAUAGGAACCCCCUCAUGGUCUUAACCUACUGCCAUGGGAACCCCCACAUGGUCUUAACUAAAGAUGCCAUACAAACCAUACAUACAAACAUAUAAGGGUUGCCCCAGAAACCCUCCAAGGUCUUACCUCGGGUGCCAUAGGAAACCCUUCUUGGUCUUAGCUAACUACCAUGGGAAGCCCCAUAUGGUCUUAGUCUGGAAUGCCAUGGGAACCCCCACAUGGUCUUAUAUCCAACUGCCUAGGGAACCCCCCGGGGUCUUUCAUGCAAUAUCACAAUGACAACUAACAUAUCAUAUAUCACAUAACCAACUAGUAUACCACAUAUCACAUAAUAGGCCAUGGGAACCCCCACAUGGUCUUAACUAAUUGCCAUGGGAACCCCCACAUGGCCUUCGCAUAAAUACAUAACAUAUUGAUAGCACAUUCGCAAGUAACCACUACCUGCCAGAGUCACGAAGACAACUGACAUACUACAUAUUGAUGGAUUUUAAGCACUCUAACAACCUUAAGGUGAAAAUACAACCCUAAAUGCUUUGGAUCUAUGUUUUCUCUAAUUGUACAUGCAAUUUGAUUUUCCAAAGCAUUAUCCUAACUAGCAUACAAAACAUGGAUACUUGUGUAACAAAAACUAGUUAGAUGGCAUACCUUUUCUUGUAGCUUGAUACCUUGGACCUUUAAGAUCCUAGCACCAUAAAUGUGAUGUCUCAAAUGUUUCACAAAACACCACCAAUAAUGGAGGACUUGAGAGAGAAUAACUUGCACACAAAAAUCGGCUAUGCUCUUCCAAAGAUCACUAGUGGCCGAUUUCAUGAGCUAAGGGACUCCUUUUAUAGUGUGGCAAGGAUUAGGGUUACACCCAUGUAAACCCUAAUGUGCAUGACCUUUCAUCUUACUUAGGAUCCAUGGGUUAAACCUCCAUGGACUAUCCAUGGACUACCAUAUUGGUUUAGCCCAUCCUAAAUAACCAUAGGCCCACACUAUAAUGAUCAUUGAUUUACCAAAUCAAUCCCCUUACAUUUAAUUAGUCUCUUUUGAUCACUAAAUUAAUUCCAAAUUAAUUCUUGAUCAAUACUAAUUAAAUAAUAUGAUUUCAUAUUAAUAUAUUAGAACUUAUAAUAUAUUAAUAAAUCAUAAAUAACCUUUUCUCAAAAGUCCAUCCUUUCAAAUUGUUCUAGUGAAAUGCAACCCAAAUGGACCAUGCUACUCUCGGGUCAAGUACAUAUCAAUCAUAGUUAUGGACUUAGACACCUUAUCCAACAAUCUCCCACUUGGAUAAGUUUAAUAACUAUAGCUUCCGGUACGACUUCAGAAACCGAAUAGCAAUCGUAGCUCUUAAAGCCUCUGUCAAACUCUGACAUGCCAUUUAGAUAAGGGAUCAUAUAAUCUUCUGUUCUUCAAGAUAUCAGCCAGACAAAUACAUGGAACAAUUUCAUACUUAUUGUCCAACAGUUUGUUUCUCGAUUUCCGAUUUGUUUGAUAUAGAACUUAAUCGAACAAAUCUAUUGAUUUCUGACCGGGCCCGACACAUAAGUCAAAACAAAAUCAUCGAGGGACCCAAGAUAUCACUUUUAAUCCUCCAAUGACUAAAAGGAACAAAUAAACUUUGACAAUAUAUGCUUGUACUAACUACUUGUUAAAUCAUACACAAUAGCGCGUUUUAUAACAUCAAGUUACUAAUGCGGUUUCGCAUAUCAAUGUACAACCAACUCAUAGUCAAUAGCUCAUAUAUCUUGGUUUGUAGACUUAUAAGAUAUUAUCGUCUCACGAUCACUCGAGAUAAAUUCCAUGAAGUGAAGUGAGCGUGGGUUUAAUCCAAUACGCAGACCUUAUGAUCACUCAUGAAUGUUGUAGCAAACUUUUCUAUGUCUAAUACACUUCAGACAAUCUACAAGCCAAAUUCAUGAUAGUCUUGCCUCAAUACCUACUUCCAAAGUAUGACCGACUAUGGACAGUUUUAAUAAUAUAAUUAUUAUGGAAGUCAAAACAUGCAAAAUGAAACAAUAGUAAAUGAUUGACACAAGAUAGUAACAUUACUUAUAAAUAAAAACACCUUUUAUUUAAUCAUCAAAUGUUAUUUACAUUUCAACUAUUACAAGUUUCUAAACAACUAUCUAAUCAUUAAAACUAAUAUCGUCCUUCAUCCUGAUGCGCCUCGCAUACUAUAAGUGUUUAACCCUACUCAGUCCCUUCGUGAGGGGAUCUGCAGGGUUCUCCUCUGACGAUACCCUCUUUGCUACGAGGAGUCCUUCUAUUCGAUGUGUCUGGAUCUGCCAUGAUCCCUUGGUUCCUUGGCUAAGGCAAUUGCACUCUCGCUGUCACAGAAAAUCUCCAUAGGCUCCUUUAUAGCUGGGACAGCUCAAAGGUUUCCAAUGAAGUUCUUCAGCCAUAUUGCCUCCUUCGUCGCCUCGCUUGCUGCUAUGUACUCUGAUUCGCAUGUUGAAUCAGCUAAUGUCUCCUGCCUGGAACUUUUCCAAGUUACUGCUCCUCCAUUCGGGGUAAAUACCUAGCCCGAAUGAGAGCGGAAAUUAUCUAUGUUGGUCUGAAAGUUGGCAUCACUAUACCCUGUUACUCUCAAGUCAUCACUCCCACCGAAGGGAAGGACCCAGUCCUUAGUCCUCCGCAAGUACUUGAGAAUCUUCUUUACCGCAGUCUAGUGAGACUCACCGAAAUUCCCUUGAUAUCUGCUGACCAUGCUCAAAGCAAAGGCCACAUCAGGAUGAGUACAAGUCAUAGUAUACAUGAUCGAACCAACUACGGAAGCAUAUGGUACUCGACUCAUCUCAGCUAUCUCAGCCUCUGUACUUGGACUCUGAGUUUUACUCAGUUUGGUAUUGGCUCGGAUGGGUAAGUCACCUUUCUUGGACUCCAUCAUGUUGAGUCUUUUCAACACCUUUUCCAAGUAGGUACUUUGACUAAGUAAAAUUAGUAUUUUACUCAUGUUUCUCAAUAUCAUUAUCCCCAUAAUAUUGGCAGCUUCUCUGAGGUCCUUCAUAGCGAAACACUUCUCAAGCCAGGACUUAACCUCCUGCAAGGUUGGGGUGUCAUUUUCUAUGAGUAGUAUGUCAUCCACAUACAAUACCAGAAGGCUAACUGUACUCCCACUAGCCUUGACAUACACACAAGACUCAUCAUCGCUUCUCGAAAAUCCAAACUCUUUGACUUUCUCAUCGAAACAAAGAUUCCAUCUGCAAGAUGCUUGUGUCAAUCCAUAAAUGGAUUUCUCAAGCUUACACACUCUAUUAGGGUACUUUGCAUUGACAAAACCCUCUGGCUAACUCAUGUAAACAUCCUCAGCCAACUUUCCAUUACGGAGAGCGAUUUUGACAUCCGUUUUCCAUAUUUCAUAAUCAUGAAAUGCAGCUAUAGCUAGCAUAACCCUAAUAGAUUUAAUCUUCAUUGCUGGUGAGAAGGUCUCAUCAUAAUCAACUCCCAGAGUUUGAGUAAAGCCCUUCGCAACCAUUCGCGCCUUAUAUGUGUGUACUUUCCCAUCCAUGUCUGGCUUCUUCUUAAAGAUCCAUUUGCACCUGACUGUCUUACGACCCGGUACAUUGUCAACCAAGUUCCAAACUUGAUUGUCAUACAUGGAAUGAAUCUUGCUGUCUAUAGCCUCUUUUCAUUUAACGGACUCGGGGCCUGCCAUGGCUUCCUUGUAUGUCACACUGCCAAACCAAGGAUCGCGGAAACGUCCGAGGGUGGAGGACUUCAUGUAUAGUAUCAUAACAACAAUUAUAGUAGUGCUCAAAGUAUAGACAACCAACAUAAAUAUAAUUGAAAAGGUUACAUCAUAAUAUAUGAUUACAUGUUUCCUAAUCAAUUACAUUAUGUUGACAAAAAGAAAUGAAACGUUUGACGCCUUAGCGUUCCAUCCUCAAAAGCGAUCAAUUACCUGUUUAUUUAUUCCCUGAGAAUACAAGUAGUUUUGAAAAAGUGUCAACAAUUAAGUUGGUGAGUUCAUAAGCUUUUGAAAGUGAUACUAAAAUCCUCUUCUUGUAAAAGUGAUGUUUGUUCGAGAAAAAUCCAAUAUUUUCCUUAUGUAGUGCAAUGUAGUCUUAAAAGUCAAGACCAAAGUGUACAAGUAUUUUACCAUACUUAAAGAAAUUUAUGCAAGUUUGAAUCGACAUAAAAUCGUUAAAUUUAGAAGUAAAACCCAUAAAUCGUUAAAUUUCAGGCGUUGCGGUUAAAUGACACUUGUCACCCCAGACCUGUCGGUCUAGCUGUUGCAUGCAGCUCAGGUGUGAGUUUGUCAGACCCAAUAUAGAUCUAUACACAACUAUCACGUUCUCCCUACAAGAGACUCUGGUUACAAUUUACAAGACUUUUGAUUUCGUUACUUUGGAUGUAACGCGAAGCGAAUAUCUCACAAAUUUAUUCAUUAACAGAUUUACGUGAACUGAACUGAAAAACUUUGGUAAUGAGUUUGAAAUGUAAUUGAAACAUAAACUAUACCUAUUAUAGUUUAUCAAAAACGUUUGUAAUGCAAAUGAACCCCAUUUUAUGUGAGUCGAAUGUAUAGCAAAAACAUAACUAUGUUUAUCAUGCCUUAUCUGGUAUUAUUUGUAAUGGCAAAGGAAUCUAACAAUCAACGAGUAUUUUCUUUUAUAUAAUUAUACCGCAACAGAAAACACAGGUAAAAUAUGAAAUCAUCAAAGAUUAACACUUUGCUCAACACGUUACAAAGUAUGAUGAAAGUUGUAAGCUAUUAACUUGUUUUUAACAUUACUGCACUGUUUUGGAAAAAUCACAGAAAAAUCAUACGAAGUCGAAAAAUUAAUCCGUAACCUCUGAGAGUUUAUAAAAUGUGUCUAGUUGGUUCAUAAAUUUUAUUAUGAUUUUUAGAUGUCUUUAACUUGUGUGAAAGUGUCCAUAUUCACAGACUGGUCCAAAUUCGUAGCUACAGUGAUAGGACGUUUUGUAAAAAUCACCAUAAAUUGUAGAAAAAUCGUAUGGACAUGUGCAAGUAGUCAUUUUAAAGGUAUAAACCUGAACUAUUUGCACCUAAUACAGUUUUGAAAACUAAAAAUUUUAAGAUGCUCAAAACAGUUCGUGAAUUAACAUUAAGUUUUCUGUUGAAAGCUGUUGUUUGAGUUUAGUUAUGUUGUUGGUGUUUUAACUUGUAUUCUCCCCCUAAAACUUGAAGAAAACAAUAAAAUGUGGGAGUAUAAACUUACCUUUAGUGAUUUUAGUGGAUGGAUGUUGAAGAAAGGAAGUGUUCAACUCAAGAACACUUAGAAGAUUGCUUGAAGAUUCGAAGUUCUAACAUAAAUAUGAUGAAGUUGGUGUAAGAAAUCUAUGAUUGAAGUAUAAAGAGGUGGAAUAAUCAUAUGAAGGAUGAUUUUACUUACCAAAGGUAGAUGAAGAACUUGCAAAUCAGCCUAGAAAUUUCGAAAUCUUUAGAGAGAGAAGUGAGAGAGAAUGGAGUUUGUUCUUUGGUGGAGUAGGAGUGAAGUGGGAAGAGAGAUGAGGAUUUUCCAGCUUUUGUUAAAGAGUAUGACUGGAAUAAUGGUGGGAAAAAGGACAAUGAUUGACCAGGUAUAGGGGAAUAGUGGCUGGGUAUGGUCUUGGAGUGAGUGUGGGAGGUUGCUUGUGUUCUUGUACAAAGGAUAAGUCAAUACUCCACCCACAUAACUUACCCACUAUAUUUUAAUAUUAAAUAAAGAUUCCCAUAAAAAUGUGUUUAAAUUAUGGGAAUAUGUGAUCUUAUAUGUUAAAAUAUAAGUUUGGGUGAAAAUCUCGCGUUAAAAUCACGAAAAACGGGCUUAACGUGAAAAUGGUCAAAAACCGGGAAAAUAUGCGAAAAUUCGAGAUCAGGGUCGGAGGUUCGGUCCCUUAUGAUUAGAACUGAAAGUAGGAGGGAUCCGAGGGGAGGGAUCGGUCAUAGGAGAGGAACCGAGAGAGAGGUUCGGUUGGGUAAAUUAGUAGGUGAGGAACCGAGCUCGGAAACAUGGAAGCGAAGGCGAGGUUCGGUUCUGACAUGAUCGGCUCUGACAAGCUCGAUUUGGUUCCUAGGGUUUCGGUUGAUGUGAGGUUCGGCUCAGGCAGGAGGUUUCUGUUCUUUGUGAGGCUUCGGCUCCUUAGGAGGGCUCGACUCCUUAAGAGGGCUUCGACUCCUAAGCGGCUGAUUUUUCACGUUAACUCUGUUUCACGUAGUUUAUGGCUGAGAUAAGGGUCGGGAUGACUCGGAUGACUAUAAAAAGUUGAGAGAGACUUUGAGAGAGAUUUGGGAGAGAUUUCUCAUACAUAGAGAGAUUUAGGAGAGAUUUCACAUACUUAGAGAGAUUUGGGAGAGAUUUCACAUACUUAGAGAGAUUUGGGAGAGAUUUCACAUACUUAAAGAGAUUUGGGAGAGAUUUCACAUACUUAGAGAGAUUUGGGAGAGGUUGAGAGAGACUUUGUUUGUGACCUUUUUGGGUGUUUAGCUUUGCAACGCAAGGUUCGUACACCCUGUUUAGCUUAGUUAUGAUGGUUUUAUGCCCCCGAGGGAUAUGAAAUGACGUUUUAUUAGUUUCAUCACUUACCCUGAUUAGGGUUUGAAAUUUCUGAACGAAUGAACUUUCCAAGUGAUAUCUUCUUAUUAAAAUAGUGAGUUGCACAAUAGUACAUAGUGUAAGCCCUAAUAUACAAGGGUUAGAUGAGUUGGCCGGUUUGACCGGUUGACUUUAACUUGAUCGGAAAUUGACGGUUGUCACAUUGUAGUUGUUAGGUUCAUCCAAAUUUAUCAGUGUGUUAUCACUGAUAAAUGUAUCACCCUCAGAUGUUAUAUGGAAACCAUAUAACACAGGUGGAACACUAACUCUAAUGGAGUGACUCAGAGGUACAAACUCGUCAAUCGGCUCAACAAGAGUUUCUUCUUUAGGUUGAUUGCUAGUGUUUGAGGUUCCUUCACCGCUGGACUCUUGAAGCACUUCAAGGUCAAUUUGCCUCCCACUAUCUCCUUGGCCUAUGAGUUCUCUCUCGCGAAAGACUCCUCUCCUUGUAACGAAGACAACAUUGUCACUUGGUCUGUAGAAGAGAUAACCAAAGGAUUUAUGUGGGUAGCCGAUGAAAAUACACUACUCACUACGAGGUUCGAGCUUGUCGUGAGUCUCAAGUCUCACGAAAGCCUCGCAACCCCAAACCUUGAUGUGUGCUAACGAGGGAACCUUCCCUGUCCACAUCUUGUGAGGUGUUUUGGCAACCUUCUUAGUUGGGACUAGAUUAAGGAUAUGCAUGGCAGUCUCUAAGGCAUACCCCCAGAAUGACAUAGGUAACGAAGCUUGACUCAUCAUGGAACGAACCAUGUCCAACAAGUUUCGAUUGCGCCUCUCAGCUACAAUAUUAAGGUGUGGUGUCCUAGGUGGCGUCAAUUGUGAAACAAUCCCACAUUCCUUGAGGUAGUCUUGGAACUCGAUACUAAGAUACUCACCACCCCGAUCGGAUCGUAUCAUAUUUAUCUUCCUGUCCAGCUGAUUCUCCACUUCUUGUUUAAACUCUUUGAAUCUCUCAAAGGUUUCUGACUUAUGUUUGAUUAAGUAGAUAUAUCCAUACCUACUAUAAUCAUCAAUAAAAGUCACAUAGAAGCGGUUAGCAUCACUUAUGGCAGUUCUGAAGGGUCCACACACAUCGGUGUGUAUGAGAUCCAACAAACCUUCACCCUUUUCACAAGUACUAGUGAAGGGUGACUUGGUCAUUGAUGUGUGUGAAACGAACUAGUUUUAAUCCUACUAACUUAUACACAAAAUAAACACACGAAAGGCAAUAUACCUAUCGAUUAGUAAUAUAGUUCAAGCAAGUAGGGCAUCGAACACAGGGAACAGAAAACAAUUAAAAUAAAUGCUAAUAUUAUCUAAAUAAAACAAGUAAUAGAAAGGGGGUUUUAUCUAGUUUUUCAAGACUAGAAACUUAACAAUGAAAUAAAACUCAAACAAAACAAUUAACAACUAAGCAAAUAAACAAUCAACUGAAUUCAAUAAUGGAUAAGACUUCUGUUUAGGUUUGAUUCAUUUACUCCUAUUGUUGAUUUAUGGUAAGUGCAAUGGAUUAUUCGUUAUUGGCUACCGAUUAGUGUGAUUAGGUUCACGUUCGCUAUUACUAAUCCUUAGAAAAUAAAUUAAUUCAAAUAGUGGCCAAUUGGUUAAACUAAUGAGUUUCCUAGAUUAUUGAUUCGGGUUAAGUAAGACUUGUAAUUAGCUAAUCAAACUACUAAUUCAAUUAACCUCUUUUUGAUGGUUCGUCACACAAGGCUCACACAUUAAUUUACCUAUUUUCUAGUUAACCCUAGUUUCACGUUCGCUAUUCGUAGGCAUACAACAAUGUUUUCACAUAAAUCAUAUGAGAUCGACAAUUAAGAGAUGUUCGUGCAACUUAAUAUACUGGUUAAUUAACAGAAAAUAGUUGUUGUUAACACAUGAGGAUCUUUAACAAGCUUAACAAAACAAAACUCACCAAAUUAAAUUAAUUCAACCACAAAAAUCAACACAUAGUCAUAAAUUCAUCUACCCUAAACAGAAGUUAUGAGUUUUAGCUCAUGAUUACAGCAGAAAGUAGCUCAAAAACGAAAUCUAAUAGUUUACACAUAGUUCAAACAAAAGAUUAAGUAAAGAGUAAACCUAAAUUGCCUUUUCUCUUCUCAAAAUUGAAGUUUAGGGUUGUUACACGAGUUCCAGAGCUUCUAACUACACCUCCAGUCACAAACUAAUCCCCCAAGGGUUCCCCCAUUCGUUAGGGUACGAAUGAGAAGCGUUUAUAUAUAUAUAUAUAUAUAUAUAUAUAUAUAUAUAUAUAUAUAUAUAUAUUAUUAACUUAUAAUAUUAUAAAGUAUNUAUAUAUAUAUAUAUAUAUUCAAAAGCCAGGGAUGACUCGGCGAGUCCAAUGACCGAUUCGAUGAGUCCAUCACUUAAAAUCCCGUGUACGACAAGUCAGCGUUGAGAAUCACGAACUUUCUGAUCAACACGUAGAGUUAAGGCCCAACUCAUUGAGUCCGUUUGGAAUCAACAUUUUCUCAAAACACGAGAGUCGUCCCAAAUUGUGUCUAAUUUUCAGGACAUUUUGAAUCUCGUCAAUCGGAGUUAUGGUUCAUGAGAUAUCGCCAAAACACUGAAGUGGGGUCAAGUUGUCCAGCAACAUCCUUCUUUCUUCAAAAUCCAAGAUCCAAGCUUCCAAUUGCUAAAUCUGCUUCUUUUUCCAUCCGAGCAUGUCUUUUAGGCUACAGAUACAUUUUAAACAUAUUUAAGUACCUAUUGUUCAUAAUUUGCAAUAAAAUAGCCGAAAAGUAUUAAUAUUUAACACAAAAUAUAUGACUAAUUAUGCACAUAUCAAAAUACCCCACACUUGACCUUUGCUUGCCCCCAAGCAAAACUGAAUUUUAAACAUACUAGCAUCACAUAAGACAAUCCCAAUUAAACCCAGCCAUUAUGCCAAGAUUGCAACACAUGCAUUUGUGUCUAAACUUUUCCUAAGGACCCCCUAAUUCUAAAUACUCACAAUCCUCAUAAACACCCGCCCACUUCUUUUGAACAAUGCUCAUUUUAUGCAUCCCUCCGAAUCCAUCUGCAAAAAACUUCCUAACCUCAAUGUAUUUUUGGUCCAGCAACCCAAGCAUACAUAAUCUAGAAAAUUACAACUUUUCGAUAUCACAAUGGAUCUUUUUGGAAUUCUUCACUUCUUUGAUAAUUUGGUCUUUGAUUUCCUUGAAUUCACCACCUUUUUUAUUUUUGGUAUCUUCAAAUUUUGAACUUCUUUAGAAUUUUGAUCUUUUUAUCUUUAUACUUUGAUUGCUCUAAAAUUCUUACAAAUUUUCUUUAUCAUUCUCUCUCUCUCUCUCUUAACAUGUAACUCACUUUUUUUUUUCAAUCAAUACCUACAUGCUUAAGCAAGGGCACUCAACUUCAACCUUUAUUGGUUAAAGGUAUUAGUCUUCCUGGGUACAUUUCAAGUACACGAUGUUAAACAUAUUGCAUCCCUCAAACUAAGCGAGGUUGUGUUUUUGUCCCACGAGUUCACUAGAAUAAAUGGGGCCACAAAUACACUAGAAUGUAUAUAGGCUCAACUAAACAUUUGGGUCCUCAUAAAAUCAUCAAACACAAUACUAGCAUGAAAUCCUAAUUGAUUUUAUCAUAAUUUUCUAAAUUAACCCUAACAAUUUUUAUGCAAAAUUUUAAAAAAUUAUCUAAAAUUUUCAAGAUUUUCGAAAUUUGACUAAAAUUUCAACUAAUGUAACCAACCCCCUACCCCACACUUAAUUUAUGCAAUGUCCCCAUUGCAAGUUAAAACAAUUAAAGAACAUAAAAGUAAAGAGAGAAUCAGAACAAACUCCCCUAGGAUAGUAAUUGCGAGGUUGAUCCUCUUCUUUUGAGCUCCAUCUUCAAUUGACUUUAGACAUGGGAACAACUCAUCCAUGUCUUGGGCGUCAAAAUCUUGAGUGGUACAACUCCAAAUAUGUAGGAACAAAAAAACUCUUGGAAAUGCUCGGAAAAUUAUCUCCAAAGAAAAGAACUAAUGCCCAUAUUAAGUGUGGUCCAAUAGUGAACUUGACAAUAGAAUAAUGAAUAACUCGACGAGUAGUUAUGCUAACUUGCCGAGUUGUAGCGUGACUGGCAGAAAAGUCGUGAUAUUCCACAUGGACUCGUCGAGUCCAUAAGAUGCACUCGACGAGUAGACCGCAGUGUGAAAAAAACUUGUAUUCUGCCCAGAUAAACUUUUUAUGUAUGAGGGUAAUAAAAACCAAUACUUUCCCUCAUUUCUUCAGUAAAUAAAUACUCGACUCAAAACUUCGUUUUCUCCCUUGACUCGAUACCCUCACAUACAAUCCUAAGCCUGAAACUGAAAAGAUAAAAGUAACCACAAGUGAUAGAAAACAAAAACAUCCUACAUAAUCCUAGUAACCAUAAGUUUAAAAUAAAACAAUUAAAACAAUUAAAAAGAAAGCAAACUCUAGAUAUCAGGUUGCUUCCCGAAAGCGCUUCUUUUUGAGGAGUCGUUAGCUCGACUCCUUCCCACUAUACGUUGCAACGACUUCCUCCAAAUCUAAUCGUUCCUCAAGUCUUUCGUCUCUUGGCAUUCCUUCUUCAUAUCUCUUCACCUGAUGCCCAUUAACCUUAAAUCUUGACCCAUCUUUGCCCCAUAGCUCAACUACUCCAUAAGGUUAGAAAUUUUUUAUUGUAAAAGGCCCGACCCACCGAGUGUGUAAUUUUCCCAUAAAGAGCUUUAGUCUUGAAUUAUACAAUAGAAAUUUUUGCCCUUCCUCAAACUCCUUAUUACCCUUCAACCUUGCAUCAUGCCAUCUUUUGGUCUUGUCCUUAUAAAUCAAUGAGUUAGUAUAAGACUCAUUCCUCAAUUCUUCCAACGCAUUCAUUUGCAAAAGUCAACGUGUACACAUCUCAUUGUCUUCAAAGCCCAAUAAGCUUUGUCUUCAAGUUCCACAGGAAAAUGACAAUUCUUACCAUAUACUAGCCUAUAGGGUGUGGUUCCAAUGGGUGUCUUGAAUGUGGUCCUAAAUGCCCAAAGUGCAUCAUCCAAUUUAUCAGCCCAAUCUUUUCUAUUAUUCCCCACCCAUUUCUCCAAUAUUUGUUUAAGUGUCGUAUUCGUAAUUUCAGCUUGCCCAUUUGAUUUUGGAUGGCAGGGUGUUGAAAAUCUAUGUCGUACCCCAUAUUUUUGCAACACUCUUGCUAGUUGAUCAUUAGCAAAAUGGGUUCCCCUAUCACUAAUUAGCACAUUAGGUACUCCAAAUCUUGAAAAUAUCUUUUUUAAAAAUUUGACCACAACCCUUGCAUCAUUGGUUGGUAAUGCUUGUGCUUCUACCCAUUUUGACACAUAAUCUACCGCCACUAGUAUGUAUUUGUUGCCUUUGGAUGAAGGAAAUGGCCGGAUGAAAUAUACACCCAAGACAUCAAAGAUUUCGCAGACUUGAAUGUUUAUUUGGGGCAUUUCAUUCCUUGCCGAUAUAUUACCCGUUCUUUGGCAAGCAUCACAUUACCUUAUGUAGGUAGCAUUAUCUCGAAAGAUAGUAGGCCAAUUGGACCCCACAUCAAAUACUUUUUUAGCAGUGUACUGCACCCCAUGAUGUCCUCCUGCUGGUCCAUUGUGACAAUGCUCCAAGAUGUCGCGACUUUCCUUGCCAAACACACAUCUUCUGAUGAUUCCAUUUGCACAACUCCUAAAAAGAUAUGGUUCAUCCCAAAAAUAAUAUUUAAUUUCUAAAAAGAGCUUCUUCUUUUGUUGAUGUGUAAGGCCUUUUCGAAGGUAGCCGCCAACCAAAUAAUUUGCAAUAUCUACGUACCAUGGUUCUUCAUCCAUGAGCAACAUCAAGUAUUCUUCUGGGAAGCUAUCUUCAAUACCCAUAUUAUCUAACUCCUCCCUUUCUGGGUUUUCUAACCUAGAAAGAUGGUCAACAACUACAUUCUCCAUUCCCUUUUUAUCCUUGAUCUCGAUGUCAAAUUCUUGUAGUAAGAGUACCCAUCGGAUCAAUCUCGGCUUUGCAUCUUGCUUGGCAAACAAGUACUUAAUAUCAGAGUGGUCAGUGAAAACAAUAGUUUUUGAUAAAAUAAGAUAAUGGCGGGAUUUGUCAAAAGCAUACACCACAUCUAAUAAUUCCUUUUCGGUUGUGGUGUAAUUUUCCUGGGCGAGAUUUAAUGUCUUGCUUGAAUAAUAGAUGGGUUGAAAGUGCUUAUCAACCCUUUGGCCAAGCACGACUCCUAAAGCAAAGUCGCUCGCAUCACAUAUUAUUUCAAAGGGUAGGUUCCAAUUUGGGGUGACAAUGAUCGGGGCAUUAGUUAACUUUUCUUUUAAAACUUCAAAUGCAGUUAAACAUUCGUUAGAAAAAUUAAAAGGUGCAUCUUUUAAAAGUAAUUGAGUUAGAGGUUUAGUAAUUUUUGAAAUUUUUUUAUGAAACGGCGGCAAAAACCCGCGUGCCCUAAAAACUCCUAAUGCCCUUCACAUUAGCUAGUGGGGGUAAUUUAGCAAUUGUAUCAAUCUUUGCCCAAUCCACCUCUAUUCCCGCCUUGGAAACUUUAUAACCUAAGACUAUACCCUCUUUAACCAUAAAGUGACAUUUUUCCUAAUUUAAAACUAGAUCAGUCUUUUACACCUAGCCAACAUCAAGUCAAGGUUAGUGAGACAAUCAUGAAAUGAGGAGCCAAAGACAGAAAAUUCGUCCAUAAAUACUUUCAUAAAACGUUUCUACCAUGUCAUGGAAUAUUGCCGUCAUGCAUCUUUGAAAGGUCGCGGGCGCAUUGCAUAACCCAAAAGGCAUGCGGCGAUAAGCAAAAGUCCCACUUGGGCAAGUGAAAGUAGUAUUUUCUUGGUCAAUUAGAUCUAUGGGGAUUUGAAAAUAUCCCGAGAAUCCGUCUAAGAAACAAUAGUAACUAUGUCCAGAUAAUCGUUGAAGAAUUUGAUCGAUAAAAGGAAGGGGAAAAUGGUGUUUACGAGUGACAUCGUUUAACUUUCGAUAAUCGAUGCACACUUGCCAACCGGUUACCGUUUGGGAAGGUAUGAACUCAUUCUUCUCAUUUGUGACAAAGGUCAUCCCUCCUUUCUUAGGCACCACUUGAACGGGACUAACCCAUGGACUAUCGGAAAUAGAAUAUGUGAUCCCUGCAUCCAAAAGCUUGACCACCUCCUUCUUUACCACUUCUUGCAUGUGCGGGUUCAAUCGCCUUUGAUGUUGCACUAUCGGUUUUGCUCCUUCUUCUAGGUUGAUCUUGUGGGAACUAUAAGAAGGGCUAAUUCCUUUAAUUUCAGUAAGAUUCCAUGCAAUAACAUUCUUUCUCCUUUUUAGAACUCGAACUAACUCUUCUUUUUCAGAUUCGGUAAGGUCAGAAGUUAUAAUUAUAGGUUUUUGUUCACCUUCUUCAAAAAAUGCAUACUCCAGAUGAUUAGGUAAAAUUUUCAUCUCUGAUUUCACGUUCUGUAUGCUAAACACGUCGAAUCCCAUGAAGGGAAUCAUCGAUUCCUGGGCAAAAUUCGUGUCUAGUCGCAUUUUUUCAGAAGGACUCGUCAAGUCGGAGGAUGCUACUUGGCGAGUCAGGCUUUCAGCACUUCUGUUUAAUUCAUUACAAUCAGCUUCUUUAAGCAAUCUCUGUAUCUCCAUCAGAUCUCUCUCAGCAUCAAAUUCAUCUUCAAAAGUAAUGGUAGACUUGCUAAGUUUAUCUUCCUUACACUAUUCCAUCAACUCUUCCAACAUAUCAAUCGAGAACGUCGUGUCAUCACUACACCUUGCAUGCUCCAUGGCUUGAUCUAUUCCAAAUGUAAUUGAUUCCUCCCCCAGCUGAAGGGUAAGUUUAGAAUCUCUCAUAUCUACUAUAGCACUCGCGGUGUUGAGGAAGGGUCUUCCAAGUAUAAUCAGGACUUGAGGGCCCGCCUCCAUGUCUAGCACUAUGAAGUCUGCGGGAAACAUGCAUGUGUCAACUUUUACUAAUAGGUCCUCACAUAUCCCCCUCAGAAAUGUUACCGUUUUAUUAGCUAAGUGAAUUGCCAUUUGAAUUGGCCUUGGUUCCGGAAGGUCUAAUUUCUUGAAAAAUGAGUAUGGCAUGAGGUUCACACUUGCCCCUGAAUCGGCCAAUGCAUGGAUAGUUGAUAAAUUUCCAAAAUGGCAAGGAAAGGUCAAACUACCCGGGGUCACCUUUCUUCUUGAGUAAUUUUUUUAACAUGGCGGCUGAACAAUUUUCAUUUAGAACCACAUUUUGUACUUCUUCCAUAUUCUUCCUAUUUGUAAGAAGCUCUUUUAAGAACUUGGCAUACUUAGGCAUUUGUGCAACUGCCUCGAUGAAGGGCAUAUUGAUUUGAAGGGCUUUGAUGUGUUCCAGAAACUUUUGAUAAUCAAUAUCAUUCUUAUCUUGUUUAGCAUGUCCUGGAAAUGGAAAUGGAGGCUGAUAUGGUUUAACAGGAGGCUUAUUAUUCUGUUCAGGUGGGGGACUCGUCGAAUCCAUGUCUUCGACUCAGCGAGUCGAAUCGGGUUUCUAUGAUUUUUGAUUUUCAGACUCUGCCUCUUGUACCUUUUUCGGGUCUCCAUUCUGAAUAGGGGUUAGAGGAGUAAUCAUCUUUUUGCUCCUAGUUGUUAUGAUGUUUAUAUGUGCUCCUUUCAGAUUGUUUUCGGUAUUACUAGGAAGCGUACCUGGUUGUCCUUCAUUUAUUUGUAGUUCAAGUCGGCCUAGCUGUUUUUCAAUGUUGAGGAUUGAAGCUUGCUGAUUUCUCAUCAAAUAUUGUUGCUCUUUCAUCAUGAGUUGUUGUUCUCUUAUUGCAACAUUAGUUUUGUUGUGUCGUUUCUCGGAUGCAGCUGCUAGUCUUGUGAGCAUAUCUUCAAAGUAUAGCUUUUUCUCUUGCACUGGUUCCUCUUUUUGAAAAAUAACAUCGUCUUCAUUUUCUCCGCCUUAGCCUUUUUGUACUCAUCAUAAGGUAGCCAUUCUCUUUUUGGUUUUUGCCAAUCUUCAUCGUAUUUAUCCCCACUCGAGUAACACACUUGCACCUUUCGGUUCCUAUUCUCAUCAAGAUCGCAAUCCCUUGUAAGGUGAGGUCCACUACAAUUUUCACACCCCACUCUAAUGGCAUGGAUGGAUUGAUCCAUCUUAGUCAUCCUUCGCUCCAUAUUCUCCAAUUUGGCCAUCACAGUUGCCAUGCUAUCAUUCACCGAGUUCUCCACCCCUCGAGUCGAGUCAUGCCUUAGGUUAUGAUAUUCUCUAGAGUGCUUAGAGAAUUCUUCAGUGAGUCUUUAAACUUCAGCCGGAUUUUUCUUUGUUAAAGGGCCUUGAGAGUCGAGUAAUUGUCUAGUGGUGACAUUUACUCCAUCAUAGAAGGUUGACACUUCUUGCUGCACAUUGAGGUCAUUUUGUGGGUAAUUCCUAAAUAGACCUUUGUAGCCCUCCCAUGCUUUGAAUAAAGACUCUCCCGCUUGUUGCUCAAAAUUGGCAAUGACCUUCUUGAGUUAAGAAAUUUUAGAUGGUGGACAAAAUUGUUCCAGAAACUCCUCACGCAUCUUAGCCCAUGUAGUAAUAUCUCCCGGUGGUAGUGCUUUUAACCAAUUCUUUGCAACCCCUUUAAAAGUAACAGAGGGCAUCCUUAAUAACACCGUCUCUCUAGGUACGUUUGGAAUGUUAAAGUAGUUGGUGAUGUCAUUAACUUCAUCGAGGUGCUUGUAUGCAUCUUCAUAAUCCUUUCCAGUGAAAGGAAUCUCCUUAAAUGCAGUAAGGAUGUGCCCCUUAAGUUCAAACGUGGUAGUGGCGGGUAUGCCGGGUUGCACAAGCCCCAGAGUGCUGGCGUCGUGAAUCCUCUUUUUGUAUGCCUCCAUCGAAAGGUUUGCAAAUUUGUCCAUUGUGUUGUUGGGAUCUUCUUCGUGAUCACUCUCUUCAAAAUCGGUAACACUUUCCUCCUUCUCGGUCUCGUACUCGGUGUCUUCUUUCGUGUUGCUGGAUUCCCCCACUUUCUUUCCCUUCUUCUUGCCAAAAACCUAUUUAAGACUCUUGAAAUGUGACUUCUUCGGAGUAUAUUCUUCGGUCUUGUCCUUGGUCUUGUGAAACGAUGAUUCCAGGUUUUCUAGUGGUGAAAUCAAGGAUGAAUUUGAUCCAUAGGUCAUAAACAAUCUGCAAGAAACAGAAAAACAUGCGUAAAAAGAACAAAAUAUACUAAAAAACGAAACUGACAAAUUGACUUGGACUCAUCGAGUCGGUGCGAACGGACUCGGCGAGUUCAAGGUUAAAACAUAAAAAAAAAUUAAAACGAAAUUUCUAAAAGAAAAGAAACUAAAACUUAAAUCUAAUUAAAACUUUUCCAAAAGCAGUUACUUUGUGCAAGAAAAUCUUACACAUAGGAUCAAUAACACAAGUAAUUAAAAUUAAUUUAGAACCGUUUCCCGGCAACGGCGCCAAAAACUUGAUGUGUAUGAAAUGAACUAGUUUUAAUCCUACUAAACUAAACAUAAAAUAAACACACAAAAGGCAGUGUACCUAUCGAUUAGUAAUAUAGUUCAAGCAAGUAGGAUAUCGAACACAGGGAACAGUAAACAAUUAAAAUAAAUGCUAAUAUUAUCUAAAUAAAACAAGUAAUAGAAAGGGGGUUUUCUCUAUUUUUUCAAGACUAGAAACUUAACAACGAAAUAAAACUCAAACAAAACAAUUAAGAGCUAAGCAAAUAAACAAUCAACUAAAUUCAAUAAUGGAGAAGACUUCUGUUUAGGUUCGAUUCAUUUACUCUUGUGGUUUAUUUUAUGGUAAGUGCAAUGGAUUAUUCGUUAUUGGCUACCGAUUAGUGUGAUUUGGUUCACGUUCGCUAUUACUAAUCCUUAGAAAACAAAUUAAUUCAAACAGUGACCAAUUGGUCAAACUAAUGAGUUUUCUAAAUUAUUGAUUCGGGUUAAGUAAGACUUGUAAUUAGCUAAUCAAAUUACUAAUUCAAUUAACCUCUUGUUGAUGGUUCGUCACACAAGGCUCACACAUUAAUUUGCCUAUUUUUUAGUUAACCCUAGUUUCACGUUCGCUAUUCCUAGGCAUAUAACAAUGUUUUCACAUAAAUCAUAUGAUAUCAGCAAUUAAGAGAUGUUCAUGCAACUUAAUAUACUUGUUAAUUAACAGUAAAUAGUUAUUGUUAACACAUGUGGAUCUUUAACAAGCUUAAGAAAACAAAACUCACCAAAUUAAAUUAAUCCAACCACAAAAAUCAACACAUAGUCAUAAAUUCAUCUACCCUAAACAGACGUUAUGAGUUUUAGCUCAUGAUUACAGCAAAAAGUAGCUCAAAAACGAAAUCGAAUAGUUUACACAUAGUUCAAACGAAAGAUUAAGUAAAGAGUAAACCAAAAUUGCCUUUGAUCUUCUCAAAAUUGAAAUCUAGGGUUGUUCCAUGAGUUCUAGAGCUUCUAGUUGCACCUCCAGUCACAAACUAAUCCCCCCAGGGUUCCCCUGUCAAAGUUCACAUUCAACUUUAGAAAGCGGUCCACAAACCUUUGCAUUGUAUUCAAGUGGGUCGUGAUGGGUUCACCAUCGUUCAUCUUAGUUUUUAUCAUGGAGGCGAUGGUUUCAUACCUCUCUUGACGAGCACUCUGAUUGUAUCUUUCCAUUAGGUCUUGGUGCAUCUCAAAAGGGUAGAAGUCCUCAUAGGACUUUUGGAGUUCAACUGUCAUGGUGGCUAACAUGAUACAAGACACCUUGGUGGCAUCCUUCUCAUGAGUCCAAAACUCAGCGAUCUCCUUAGGAGUAGCAUACGACUCAUCGAUUUCCUUAAGCUCCUUGUCUAGGACAUAUUCCUUGUCCUCAUAGUGAGUGACCAUCCCGAUGCUCCUAAUCUAGUCAUUGAAGUUGGUACCAUCAAAGACAACUCUCCCACACAAGUUCAUGAGAGAGAAGGAGCCAGUAGGGUUUGAGCCAGAAGCAGUGUUGGAAAACAUCUGAAAAAGAAAGACAAAGUUUAGAUUAGAUAAGAGUCCUUAAUAUAACACCCAAAUGAAAUAUUAAGGCUAGGACCCAACACAAUAUUUUACAAUUUGGAAGAGGGAUGUCGUAAUCCAAAUGCAAAAUAUUUGAAGGUAGGAAAAUGACCAUUUACCAAUUUCCACCAUGAAAAACGAAAUUUAUUAUUAAGUUUUAAUUGGAUUGAAAUUCCUAGAUUCCUUUGAGAUUCAUUGAAAUUUUCAAUGGCAUGUUUAAAUCUCGAUUAUGCCCUUCAAGUUUGUGACUAGGAUACCGAGGAUCACAAACAAGGUGUGAAUAACCAUGCAAAUGUGCUUGGUACACUCGAUGUCAUUUAUCACCUAAUCAAUGUGUCGGUUAACCACACACGCUCCAUCGAUCUAUGACAAAUGAUGUGCACAAAAGUACCCACUAAUUUUAAUAUUUAUAACCUAACUAACUUAAACUAACUAUGCACUUAUAGGCAGUGUACCUAAUCAGAUUACAGUAUAGCUUGGGUAAGUCGGGUGUCGGUCACAGGGAACAGUGUUACUAAUUAAUUUACUUACUAUUAAAUUAACCUAAUUAUUAACAAGUUUAAAAGGGGUUUUUUUUAUCUAAUUUUACAAGAUGAGACGAAUUUAAAUCAAAUUCAAUAUGUAAAAACACACUCUUGUCUAGUUUGAAUCCACUUCUUUCUUAUGGCUAGCUAAUGUUUAUGGAUCAUCUAGUUGGUUUUAAUUAUAUUAGUAAUUUAGUUCUAACUUUACCAAUAAUUAACUAAUUCAUGUCAAACCAUGUAUGUUCACACAUAAUUAAACACAGAAAUAAUUAUGAAUGUAAAUAUGUUAUGUAAGAUUUGUUAUAUAAAUGCAAUUAUAGUCACAAUACAUGUUCUCUAGCACAGCUAAGCUUAUUUACUCCAAUUACUAACUAAGAUCGGUCACUCCUAGCUCUAACAAUUCAAUGUUCACUAAAUCAUUAGGUAAACAAGUUCAUGCAGUUAAUGGUCACUAAGCUACACAGAACAUGCAAUCAAGCAAUUAGAGAAACAAACAUAAGCAUGCUAGGUUAUACAAAUCAAACACAAGCCAUUUUACCAACUAAAUAAAUCCAUAAAAAUUGAGCUAUUCAUAAGUUGGAAGCUUCAUCUAGCUAAACAAGAGUAGCUAGAUUCAGCUGCUCAUCAUAACAACUAACAAACUAACACAAAUUGAAGUGAUAUAAAACAUGUUCUAAAUAAACUAAAUUAGCCUAAAUUAUGGACCUUCACUCUUUUUGGUGUUGAAAGCCUCUUCCCAGAACUUUUCUCUCCUCAAAAUCGUCUUCUGGAACUCCUCUUUCUAGCCAAAAGUUCUAUCCAUUCGUAAUGGUCAAGGAUUUAUAUAGUUGCUGAUAUCCAUAAAUUCACGUCGUGAAUAAUAAGAAAUUCACGUCGUGAGUUGUAGAUAACUGUGCCCGUCAAGGAUUCCUUCACCCGCGUACAUAUCUUCUAGACCCAAGAAUUCACGUCGUGAAUUCUUUAGUCUCACGUCGUGAAUAAUCUUUUUCCAGAUUUUUCUUCUCUUUUAAUCUUUUAAUUCCCAAAGUUUCUUUCUUUAACACUUUUAGUCCCUUUUCUUCAAAAUGUCUUCUUUUUGGCUAUAAAUAACAUUUAAGCUCAUAAGUACCAUUAUUCUAAACAAAUUACCAACUUAUAAUAAAAAUGUACUUAAAUAUUGCCUAAAAAUAGGUAUAAAUAUGGCAAUAUCAACAAACAUCAAGUUACCCUUUGCCACCCUUACUAGUCCAAGUUAAUGUGUCGGUUAACCACACACGCUCCAUUAACGACUUGGCAAGGUACAAAGUGCAAUAUCAUGGAUUAGCAUCAAUUACACAUUUUUCCUAAAGUAACUAAGAUUGGGAAUUUAAUACAACAUUUAGUUACUUUAUAAUUUUCAUUAUACUUUUAACGAGAGUUAAUGUCAUAUCCUACCCGUUCGGGUAACGACCCUCCACCAGUCUAGGAUGCGGUGGGUGAGAGUGGACACCUAUUAAACCACCAUUUUAUAGACAGUAACCUUAUACCCCCCCUCUUAUAGACCGGCUUCGUGAAUGAGGCCUACUAACGGUAAGACUGACUUGUCUUAUACAAAUAUAUAAUUAUUAAAAUUUUAAUAUUAUAAUAGUAUAAGGGUUGAAUUUUAAACUUUUAAAAUGCUAGGGUUUGGAACUAAAGUAUUCAUAAGUGAUACUUUAUAAAUUUCAAAACUUGAGGGCAAGUUUUGAAACUCUUCAAAACUUUUCAUUUCCAUAACUUAUGAGUUUAAUGUUUUUUUAAAGAAAAGACCUUUCAUUUUCCAUUAUUUGAGGAUAGGUUAUGGAGUCCAUUAAAAGCAUUUAGAUCAUUAUUUUAAUUAACACAAUAAUCAAAUAAUUCAUAUAUGAUCUAAUUACACCCAUAAGAACAAGAUAAUUCAUAUCAACAAUCUUCAAGAAAUUAGCCUAAUCAUAUAAAAUAAUACAAAUCUUGAAAUUAUGAAAAUUAUCUUUUAAUUGGACAAGCAUGAUCAUUACCUUAUGAAAAAAUAGAUUUCAUGGUUCAAAAAAACAGUUUGGGGUAAUGAUCCUAAUCAAAUUUUUGGCCAAAAUUCAAAAUUCUGCACACUGAAGCACCAACUCGGCGAAUGCAUGAACUGGACUCGUCGAGUUGAUCAGUUUCUGACUGGACUCGUCGAGUCACCCAGUGGAGUCGGCGAGUUCACCAGUCAGAAGGCAGAAAAACAAUUUUUUCAACUUUGAAAACCACUAACCAUCAAGUAUAAUAGAAAACAAUCCUAGGCUCUGAUAACACUGAUGGGGUACAAAGUUCUUCAUUCAUGACUUUGUAAAUGUUUGACUUUUGUAAAACCCACUUGCAUGUGGUGCUUUAGCCUUUAGACCCAUUUAGUAGUUAGAGUGAGAGAGAGACAUGUAAACACCUCUAUAAAUAGUGGGUUUGUCCACUUGUAGAGGUGUGCUUGAGAGAUGUAAAAGUGAGUGUGUAAGUGUGUGUUAUUUAUGUAGUCUAGAUCUAGAUCAUUUUUUGUAACACUAUAUACAUUCAAUAUAUCUCUUAAACACCCAAAUCACCAUGUUCAAUUGUGCAAACUUUAAUUACGCAUGCCAAACCAUGUUCUUUGUCACUACAAUUGGUAUCAGAGCGGGUCUUCAAGAUCAAGGUGAUUUUUGAAGAACGAUUCUUGGUUUGACAAUUUUUGUCGCAAUUUGGUCAAUUUUGGUGAGUCUCUCUCUAUGAUCUCUCUUAAUCUCGUUUAAAUCGUGCGUAACGUUUUUGAAUUUUUGAUCGGUUUGUUUCGUUGGAUCUAAUCCGUGUCAAAAUCCUUUGAAGAUCCAAUAAUUUUUUUUGAUCAAAUCAUGAAAAUUACUAUCCACUGAUCACAUUUGAGCCCAAAAUUCAGAUUUAUUAUUGUUCAUCCUUCGUGAUUUAGCCCAAUACUCUUAAUCUGUUACUGUUCAUCAAUCCACUUUAGUGAGCCCAAAUUCAAUCACAGCUUAGAGAAGUCUUUGAUUUAGUCACACGCUCUCAAAUGAUCGAUAUCUAUGAUGUUCUUCAUCUUUCGCUCUUCUUCUGUACAUUUCGAUCUAUAAAAGUCAUUCAUUGAUCUUCUUUCGGUUUCUACUAAUCACUUCUAUGAAUCGAUGAAUAUUGGUUAUGAUUCUAAAGUUGUGAAUCGAUCUUCUUUUAUAUCAAUGAUGAUCACGUUAUGAUUUUGAAACCGGAUGAUAUGGGCUUAUUUAGUCAUAAAAAUCAUGCAUGAUCUUAAUACUUUGUGUUGUUUUUGUCUCAUUUAAUGAACAAAAGGUGCUUAAUUAGUUUAUAAUUUCAUUUUUCAGCAACAAGGACAUGCUCGGAAGGAAAAUGAAGCGGAAUUGGGGAUUGGAGGCUUGGAUCUUGGAUUUUGAAGAAAGAAGGAUGUUGCUGGACAGCUUGACCCUUCGUCAGUGUUUUGGCCAUAUCUCAUGAACCGUAACUCCGAUUGACAAGAUUCAAAAUGUUCUGAAAAGUAGACACAAUUUCGGACGACUUUCGUGUUUUGAGAAAAUGCUGAUUCGAAACGUACUCGGCGGGUAGGAUCGAUUACUCGGCGAGUUGUAUCGAACUUUCGCGAUUCUAGACGCGCUGACUUGCCGUACACGGGUUUUAAGUGACGGACUCGCCGAGUAGGUCACUGGACUCGCCGAGUAGCCUCUGUUUUGUGAAAAUCUAUAUAAAGGGACUUUCAGAUCGAUAUCAUAGGAUGGAGAGAAACCCUAGGAGGCUGAGAAACGAUUGGAAGUGCUGCUAGGUCGUGAGGAACUGAAGAAUCAACCCUACAUUCAAUUGUGAAGAGAAUCAAGACAAUUUUGGUUUAUUCUUAGUAACUUUUUGAUUUGAAUCAUGUUUACAUACUUUGAUUUCGUUUUUGAGUUUAUGUUUACUGCAAUCAUGAGCUAAAAACUUAUUCUUCUGUGAGGGUAGACAAUUUUGUGAACAUGGAUUGAUUAUUUGAGUAGGAUUAAUUUUAAUUGGUAAUUAUGUUUAGUUAAGCUUGUUAAAGAACCUUAUGUGUUGACAAUAACUAUUCUUCUGUUAAUAAAUCAGUAAUUAAGUUGUAUGAAC
rnacentral:lncRNA from 1 species